rnacentral:lncRNA from 1 species
GGAAAACACACUCUCAAUAGUUCCAGUUAGCACACAUGAGCCUCUGUUAACUACUUACUAUAAGGCUUCGGACCAACAACUGAUCUCAUUCAUGCUUAAAUGGCCCAGUGAAAUAUAAUAAAAACAAGAUUUUUGAGGUCUUCAUCACACCUAUAGCAGAACCAGAGGAGAUAGCAGAACCAGAGAAGGAAAAGAAGAGAAGUUCGAACAAAAGAAAGAAGAAACUUCCCUUAAAAUGAGCUACUCGUAAGGGGAGAACAUCAAGAAGUAGAAAAGAGAAGUCUGCUAACCUGGAAAUCACUGAAAUGUCUAUCUCAGAUGGUGAAAUCAGAAACAGAAACAAGGUUAUAUGCUCUGGCAUGGACAUUAAUGUAAUGGAGAAGGGGAUCAUUUCCCCUCCGCAACUGGAGCAACAACCACCUGUUGAUAGUAGAAUGGAAGCUAAAGCUUGCUGGGAAGUUGGAAAGGCCAUUCUUUAGCUAGAUGAUGAUAGUGAUCAGAUUGUGGACACCUUGAAGGUUUUCAUAGAUAAAGAGCGGGAGGAUUGGAAAGGAAGGUUAGAGUAACAGUAAUGCUCCACGAAGAUAUUCUAGAUCUUGGUAUGUUGUUCCCUCAGUUGGUCUUUCUGGGGCCUGCUUUCUACAUGGAAUUCUCCCAGCUUUAAUGUCACUAAUACAAUGGUAGGAUAUUGCAUAUAGAAAGAGUCUUUACAUAGUACAAUACUGAUUGAGUGCUAUUUAUGGAUUAUUCCUCAAAGAAAGAAUUGUGGAGUUAUCUGGUGAAUUUCAAAUGUAACAUUUCUAAGCCAUGGUGCCUUGUUGGGGAUUUUAAUGAGACUAUCUCUUCUUCAGAUCGUAAAUAUUACUUGUUCUAUGAAAGCAUUUCAAUAAUGUUACAUGGAUAUUCUUUCUACUAACUACUAUCUUCUGUUAAAUUAUCUAUAUCUGAUAACUCUGUCAUAUCCCCUGUUCACGAAACAUUGCACACCAAGCAACUAAGUGUUUCCUUCAGAUGUUUGGUUCUAUGGUAUUCUGGGUUUCUUCUGCAACAUGUUAUUGAUACUAUGGUGUUCUGAGUUGCUUGCUUUUGAGAAGAAUUAAUUUUUUAUUUAUACUGAUUUCGUAAGAACAGUUGUGUUGAGAAUAAAGCACCGAUGCUUCGUGAUAUUGUAAUUACAGUUCCUUUGUGAGUUAAGUUACAAACACAUUGAUGUAUUUAUUUCUCACUUUGAAUAUCUUUUCAAAGUAUGUGCAGGUAGGUUGUGUACUGGUUAAACAAAAAAAAAAAGAACUUAAAAAUCAAGCAGGAUUUUCUAGUCAACAGUAACGGCUGCGUGCAUUGGCUCUUUUUUUUUUUUUUUUUAUAGAAGUAACACCCAAAUCAAAACAAAAAAGACAUGCCCAAAAAAAUAACAAAAAAAACACAUAUAUUAAGAGGCUGUUUGUUUAUGUGGUUGCAGCUGUGUUUUAAUUAAAAUGCAGUUUGCUGAUUUUCUAGUCAACAGUAACUGCUGCGUGCAUUGGCUCUUUCUGAAAUGCAGGUAAUGAAAAGCAAGGAAUUCCUGCUUUUCAUGCACUGUGUAUGCUAAUUAUACUAUUCACUUAACAGUGUAAUUAGCAUGAAUAGUGUAUAUUGUUCAUGUGAACAGUGCAAUAGAUUUGCACUGUUUAUUUAAAAAACAAUGAACAUUACAAUUCACUUGCACUGUUCAUGAGUGAAUUGCAUUGUUCACGUGAACAUUUUUUUUCCAGUGUGUUAAUAUUUUUAACAUUUUUUUAAAAAAAAAACUAGUUUAUAGUGAAUUAAAUUCACUCGCACUGUGAUGUGAACAAUAUUUUUUUUCCUGAAAAACUAGUAUAGAGUGAAUUAAAUUCACUCGCACUGUAAUAUCAAUUUUAUACCUGAUAAUAUUUUAUCUAAUUUUAUUACACGCUGAAACAAUUAUGAAAACUGUAGUUCUUAUCGGAAAUGGAAUUAUAAAUUGUUUAAAGGAAUAAUAAAAAAUAUUUUAUAUAAAGUAUUAUUUAUUUCAUGAUAUAAUAGGAGUAAUUAAUUCUACAAUAUUUAAAUUUAAAACCAUCAAUAUUAAUAUAUAUUUUUUAAAAUUAUUUUAUAACUUCAAUUUUAAAAGCAUUUUUAACCAAACACAUUAAACUACUUUUUCUUCAACCUCAAUUUCAACCACAGUUUUAAUCAAAUAUCUAUUUUUUCAAACCAACCUCAACUAAAAGUAUUUUUUAUAAAACAACUUUUUUCAAAUUACAACCACAGCACUACCCCAACACCAAAAACAUAAGUGACUCGAAAAAAUAUUUCUUGUAUCGAAUAAAGCUAAUGAAAAAAAUAAAAAUAAAACACAACCAUGAAGGAAAAGAGAAGCAGUACGAAAGAGGAAUCCAGUUCUCUAAAUCUGCGACUCUGGCGUUGUUCUCAUGUCAACUCCACUUGGAAUCGAAUUCACGAGCAUGAGUAAAAAUACUCGAAUCCAUGAGUAAUAGAGUAAUGUUUCUGAAAAAAAUUCUUAUUUAAAAUCAAAAAGUGACUACAAUGAGGGGGCUGCUUGUAUUUAUAAGCUGCCACCCUAAUUCUAAUAAGAGAAUCACUUACGGAAAUAAAUAGCAAAAUAAAAAAAACAGGAAAAUUCCUACUAGAAACAGUAAAUUAAAGUCUUAAACUUAAACAACAGUAAAUAGGAAAAAUAGCAAUCCCAAUUUAGGAGCCUAUGUUAACUAAGGAAAGAGUGGCUGGUAAUUGUUUUAUGGCAGUAGUUUUAGUUUAGGAUUCCUUCCGCAAGCUGUCCUGCAUCAAUAAGGUAGCGAGAAUGUUUAUUCGAAAAUUCACUGCAAUUUAGAAACACACAACUAUAUCCAUGAGUACUAAUAAUUUUUUUUAUUUAAUGAAACAGAAAGAAAAGACUAAUCAAAUGAAAUACCGCAGAAAAAAUAGCAUAAACUCUUGCACAUAAAACCGUAAGAUGUCAAAUGCUUGCAGAACUUACUUCAUGUUACUAGCUGCGUUGUUUAGUUUCUUCUUGCACCAUUUCUACGAGCAUUCUUCUUCGUUCUUCUUGCCUUCAGAUUCCAAUGAUCUUCAACCACUUUCAGAAACCAUGCUGGUUUUCUUGUCCUAAACACAACGUAUCCCAUUGUGACUCCAAACACAAACCCACAUCCAUACCCUAUGGCCACAGCUUUCCAUCCAAAUCCUUCUCCAAAGAAUUUUGAAUCAUCUCCAUCGUGAAAGUUUGAUGGCUGCGAUGGUGGUGCCUCGUCACUAUUGCAUUCUUUUGGCAUUGGAAAUCCACAUAAACCCAAGUUUCCUUCAAAUGAGCUUGCAUUAAACGUGUUGAAGUGCUUUCCACUGGGUAUGGGCCCCUCAAGCUGGUUAUGUGAAAGGUUUAAGACUCCAAGAAAUGUUAGAUCUGCCAACUGUACUGGAAUCCUUCCAGUAAACAAAUUUGAAGACAGAUCUAAUGAUUCCAGAUAGGUCAACAUUCCAAUAGAUGAUUGAAUAUGACCUGUAAGGGAAUUAUGAGAGAAGUUAAGUUGUUGGACUGCUUUAAGUUUUCCGAUCAACUCUGGAAUCUCUCCGGUGAAUUUGUUAUUUGACAAAUCAAGUAUUCUACGAGUGCUUUGGAUUUUCGUGAACUCAGUUUCAAACCCUUCCCAUGUCACUGCCAUCAUGUAAUAUAUAUUAGGAUUAUAGGUCAUUUUUGCUUCGAGAUUAUUGAAAUACCCUAUUGGCAAAGGUCCACUCAAACUAUUGUUGGAGAUGUCCAAAAUCCGCAAUUUGGAGAAUGAAUUAUUAGUAGUCGAACUAUUCACAAAACCUUGGAGUUUGUUGGACUUUAGUACAAGAACAUAAAGCUCUGGAAGUGUUUCUAGAAAAUAGGGAAAUGUGUCCUCAAUCUUAUUGUUGCCAAGAUCAAGAGCUUCCAGCAUUGUGCAGUUGAUGAUAGACGAUGGUAUUUUCCCUUCCAAUUCAUUGCCAUUUAGGUUGAGAUAUCCCAAGUUAUUCCCCUUUGAAAAUGGUGAAAAAAUAGUGCCUUGAAGAUUAUUCAUGCCAAGAUUCAAAAUUGAGAGAGAGUUGCUAAAGUUCCCUAAACAUUGUGGUAUAAAACCACUCAAGCUGUUGUUGGACAAAUCAAGGAGUCGAAGGAAUUUAAGCUUGCAAAUAGAAGAAGAAAUUUCACCUGUUAAUUUACUGUUGGAUGCAAGAACAAGGGCUUCCAAGUUCUCUUGUUUGAAAAUUGAACUUGGGAUUGGACCAUGCAAGUUGUUUUUGCUCAAAUCAAAGAAUCUCAAUGAAAGGGUAUUUAUUUGAGAAGAAAUAGGUCCUGAGAGUUGAUUAUUAGAUAAACCUAAAUUUUCAAGGAGGGUUAGGUUACCUAAAAAAUCUGGAAUCUGACCCAAAAAAUUAUUGGAAUCGAGAUACAAAAUACGAAGUUGCACAAGGUUUUCAACUGAUGAUGGAAUCUGACCGCCAAAAUUAUUAUCUGCGAGAUCUAAACGGGUGAGUUGAGUGAGAUGACCAAUCAGGGUUAGAUUUGAUCUUAUGAUAUUAGAGCUUCUAAGAGACAGAACUUCCAACAACUUUAGAUUAGUGAAGAAGUCAUUUUCUAAAUAAACUGAAAUUCUCGUAUGAGAAAGACCCAAUAACCAGAGGGCAUUACUCACAUUGGACGAAGGAAAAGAGCCAGUGAGGUCGCCGUUGAAUGUCAAAUCAAGUGAUUCAAGGUUUGGUAGUAGAAAGAUGUUACCUGGGAACUUCCCUUUCAAUCCACAACCCCAAAGGGCAAGAGCUGACAAGGAUGAGGACAGAUUCGCCAAGGAAUUAGGUGUGACCAAAGGCAUAUUUACAUAACCCAAACGGAGACCUCUUAGCUUGGUUAGGUUUUGAAUAGUCUUGUCAAAAGAACUUGGUUCUACACUCAAAUAAUCAUUGAAAGAGAGAUCAAUUGAAACCAACUCAGUGAGUUGGUCAAAAUCAUCUGGAAUUGAACCUGUAAGAUUGUUUUUUCUAAGAUCCAACAGCUGGAGGUGCUUAAAUUUUCUCAUUGAGGAUGGGAAUUUUCCUUGCAGUCCACAGGAAAAGAGUUUGAGUGAUGACAAAGAAGAAGACAGAUUCAUCAAGGAAUUGGGUGCAACCAAUGACAUGUUCACCCAACUCAGAUAGAGUUCUCUAAGGUGGGUUAGGUUUUGAACAAGCUUGUCAAAAGAAAUUGGUUCUAGACUUAGAUAGUCGUUUUCGUUUCCAGAGAGAGCAAGUGAAACCAACUCAGUGAGUUGCUCAAAAUCAUAUGGAAUUGGACCUGUAAGAUUGUUAUCUGCAAGAUCCAACUGCUGGAGGUGCUUAAAUUUUCUUAUUGAGGAUGGGAAUUUUCCUUGCAGUCCACAGGAAAAGAGUUUGAGUGAUGACAAAGAAGAAGACAGAUUCAUCAAGGAAUUGGGUACAACUAAUGACAUGUUUACCCGACUCAGAUCGAGUUCUCUAAGCUGGGUUAGAUUUCGAACAAACUUGUCAAAAGAAAUUGGUUCCAGACUUAGAUAGUCGUUUUCAUCUCCAGAGAGAUCAAGUGAAACCAAUUUGGAGAGAUGAGAGAUUUCCGACGGAACUUGACCUGCAAAGACUGAGUAAUUUAGGUUAAGAUAUGUCAGAUUGGAGAACUGGCCAAAUUGAGAAGAAAUAUGGGAGCUUUGGAAAUCAUUGUCAGAGAGGUCGAGCUUUUGAAGAUGAUGCAGGGAGAAGAGGGUGCUAUUGGAAUGGAGGGUGCCAUAAAGCAUGCUGCAAGCAAGGUCCAGUGCAGUGACUUGCCCGGUUUUCAUGUCACAAGUGACCCCAUCCCACAAGCAGCAGUCUGUACCCUCUUUCCACGACUCUGUCUUGGGAUGCUGGCAACGCCCUGAAGCAGAGCUAUUAAUGGAAAAGGACUCUUUGAAUUGGAGCAAAGAAAGGCUUUGGUCAGGAGCACAGAAAUGAGAUGAAGAGGAGUAAUUUGAUGAAGAAAUUGUUGUGUGAAAAUGGAAGAGAAACAGAAUGGAAGAGAGAAAUUGAGAGAGGGACAGUGGUGAAAACCCCAUGUUGGCUGGCCUUGCAGGAUUCGAAAGUAUAUUUGGAGUGUUGAACGAAAGAUGAGAAAUAAAGAUUUGCAUUGGUACUAUUUAUACACAAACCAAUCAAGAUUUAAGUACCCAACGUAGAUGAAAGUAUACGAGAAUUGUUGCAUAUGUUACGUCUAUGUUAAAUAAUCAUCAUUUAUCAAUUUGUGCCUAAUUUGUUGAAAAAUAAUUUGAAUACCAUUUUAAGUAAUCUAAAAACUAUGUUUAAAUUGUGAAAACACGUUGCCUAAGCAAGAGUGAGUGUUGGGAACGCGUUGCUUUUGCCUGAGUUGCUUUUAGAGCAAACCGCUUCAUGUUAUAUUUCCAUACAUGUAGGUCCCUUAUACAAUAGUGUUUGAAUGAUUUCUUGGCAAUCCCCUUCUCCUUUGCAACAAGGUUUUUCUUUUUUGUUUCGUGAGUCUUCCUUUGGAAACCAUACGGUACGGUAAGAGUUGACUCUUAACAGUGUUAAAUAUUGCAUUGCAAAUAUUUCCAUGCAAGUAGGUCCCUUAAUUUGUUGAUGACUGACGGUAUGUGUGACACAUUUAAAGACCAAGUCAAAGUCAUUAUUGAUCUUUCUCACUGCUGGGAGAAACAUCCUUAGCUGGGUGCUGACCAAAUUUUAAAUACAAGAAGACUAAACAAGAGUACUGAGUGUUGGAAACACGGUAAUUAUAUUAAUGAAUUCUUAUUUGUUGCUUUUGCAUGAGUUGCUUUUAGAGCAAACCGUUUCAUAUUAUAUAUUUCCAUACCAGGAGGUCCCUUAACUGACUACACACAAGAGUGUUGGAGGCACCGCAAUAUUAAUCUUCAUAAUUGACACUUGUGCAAAUUUCUAGCUAUUCAUAGUUCAUUUUAAAUUUUAGGUACAGACAAUGGUUGUAAAUUCCAUUCAAUUGUGACUGAUAUAUCUUAUUCUAGUUUAAAAAAUAAAACUAACUAGAACAAAAUUUAUCUCACUUAGAAUUUCAGCUCAUUCCAAAAACUCCAUCUAAAUUUUAUGAGCAUAUUCACCUUGACUAAUAAAACACGUUUUGGAGCCAUACGUGACUGUCAAGAACAAAUCAGUGAGUUUCAUGGGCCAAAACGAAUAAUAUCUUACUAGUGGGGUGUGGUGUUACUGGAAAGUUCAGCAUAGUCAGGAACUUGUUAGAUUUCUGAAUGUCAUACACAUAGCGAAAAUAAUAAAACAAAAUUAUUUAGGAGUCCCUAGAAUCAUGUUAGACAUAUCUAAAGUUGUUUAGGAAUUUAUUACCUAAAGAUAUAAUCUUCUUCUGCUUUGAAUAAUUAUUUAAAGGGUAGGUUGUCAUAAUUACAAGUUAUCCAAUUGUCUGACCUCCAACAGUAAUCCACACGAACCACCAGUGAGGAAUCUCCUAAAAACCUAUUUAAGAGAGAUGAAUUGUUAUGUCUAGAGUACUAGCUCUCUAUUUUGUGACUGUAGUUUUUUUAUCUAACAAACAACAACUCCAAAAUAAGAGGCAUAAGCUGAGGUAUAAGAGAUACCUAUAAUUAAUAUGCAUGAGAAUUUCUUAUGGAGAGAUCACUUAUGUUUAUGGAAAGGCUCACGCGAUAGUUGUGUAAGUGAUUCUUAAAAUUGAGAUCAUUAAGUCAUCUUAUAUAAAUAAUGUUAUACUUUGAUCCUGUUACAUGUUAUCCUAAUCAAGGUAACAAAAGAGCAGACAUUAGGUAUAUCAUGAACUAUAUGAAAGUACUUGAGUGAUCAAGAGAAUAUUCAUCACCUUAGAUGAAUUAAGAAAAAUAUUUCAUCUAUUCUCAAAUAGUAUUGAUUGAUAAUUAUUUUGGCCAAUGUGGAAUUAGAUUUAAAAAGAGUUUCAUAUCUUAUUCAAACGAUCAAUGACUAUUAUAUAGAGAAUAAACAUGAUUUAAUUUGCAGAUAUACUAUAUGCUUUAAUGUUAAAUUAGAACAUUAUUGAUAUUUAUUAUGCUGAGAAACUAGUCACUAAAAGGUUAAGUUAAACCACUAAUGACUUAUAAUAUUUAGAGGAUCAUGACACGUUGUUAGACGAUGCACCUAAUCUUUAAAUAUAAAUUAAUCAAUUGUUGAAUUAAUAAUAAAUUAAAUUAUUUAAUCUAUUUAAUUCUAUUUAAUUAGAAUUAGAAUUUAUAUUUAGGCCUACAUAUUAGAAACCUAAUGAGUUACACACAUUAAGAAUCAUUAAUAAAAAAUUAAACUAUGAUGAUUUAAUUAAGUAUGACUUGAUUAAAAUAUAUUUUAGAAAUUAAGAACUAGAUUAUAAUUAAUACAAAGAUUAUAUUUCUAGACUUAUAAAAUCAAGUAAGAACUUAAUUGAGUUACUUUCUAUGUUAUCUUUAAAUAAUAUAUGGAUAUUAUUUAAGGAACAAAUAAAUAUUUUAUUAUUUAUAGGAUUUUUAAAGAUUUUCUAUAAAUAUAAAGCUAAGCCUAUUAUUUUGUAAGUGAAAAAAAAGUAUGGUUUUUUGUUAGAUAGAAAAACUACGUGAACACAAUAUUAAAGCUAGCACUCUAAGCUUACACAAUUCAUCUCUCUUAAAUAGGGAAUUAUGAGAUUUCUCACGAGUGGUUCGUGUGAAUUACCAUUGAAGACUGGACAAUUAGAUAACUUGUAGUUUGCGAUAUUCCAGCCUUUAAAAAAAUAUUCAACGUCGAAAAAGAUCAUAUCUUCAGGAAUAAAUCCCUAAACAAUUCUAUAUCUAUAUAUUUGUUUCAUAGUUUCCAUGAAAUAAUUUUGUUUCAUAGUUUCCAUGAAAUAAUUUUGUUUCAUAGUUUCCAUUGCGUGGAUGAUAUUCAAAGAUCCAACAAAUAGAACAUUGACCAUGAACAUUUAGUAAUAAUACUUUGAUACAAUAAAAAUAUCAUAAUUAUAACAACUUUAUAAUUUCUUAUGCAAAUCAAUUUUUUUCUAUAGACUUUAUCUUUACUCUAGAUUCAUUAACCAAAUAUAAAAUGAUAAUUAAAGAUAAAGAUAAAGAUAAAGAAAGCUUCUAUUACUAAUAAAUAUAUUUUAUAUAAAUAAAAUUAGCACUAUAUAUAAUCAAUUGAUUAGCUACAGAUGAUAUUCACUAACAUAAAAGUUGCAAUAAGCACAUCAACAUUAUAUAUCUAGCUAUUUGAGAACACGUCAAAGCAAAUAAAAUGGUUGUUGAACACAUCAACACUGGAUUGAUGAUUGUUAAUUCAUUGAUAAAAAGUUUACCAUCUGUAGCUUAUAAAAGACAUGCUGAGCAUACGAACUCUAUACUGAACGGUAUGGUAUUUGUAUUUUCUGACAAUUGAAAUCUAAUUGCUAUGGCUAGAAAUAUAUGCUCGUAAACUUCAUGAUAGCAUUGCUAACAGGGAGGGGAGCUGUUUUAUCCACAUAUGAACUCUGUGCUGAACCUCCACUUGACAUUUCCAUAACCAGGAUAAUGGACAUCUCUUUCACCAAGAAGCUUUCCACCGCUCUGGAAGGCGAAUGCAAGUCACGACCUAAACAGGGUCAGAUGGGGCACAUGUUGUCAGAAAUCGAAUUUUAACUUGUUCGAACAUAAGCAGAAGUAGGCUCGCGCAAAACUUCGCCAGAGAGAAUUCACAGCUAAGGAAAACCAACAUGGCAGCAAGCAAAGAACCAUACAUAGCACGAAGAGAAAAUACAACAGGAAAGAAGACUUUAUCGUAUUGAUUUCCAUACAUAACAAAGAAGUGAAAAUCCACAGGAAAGAGAAAAUAGUCAAGGCUCGUCCGCAUGGAAAGAAGACUUUAUCGAAUUGAUUUCCAUCUUAUAAAUUGCAAGAUUUGUCUUCUCAUUCCAGUAAAAGUUGGGACACGGCACACUGAACCUAAUCUUCCAAAAUCUAAUAAGCAGUACAAUCAUGUCAUGACAUCUCGUUAGUGUGCGUUCACCAGGUCUCGAACCCUAUAUCAUGCUCUCUUAGAUGCCUUAGCAUUGUAUAUACAGCAUUACCAAAAACGUGGGUUUUGUAAUCUAUUUUUUAGGAAGAUCUUAUUUUCUAGGCCUGGUUACUCUGCCAAUGAUGAUUCUCUAGCUGGUUCUACCACCAAAGGCUCUAAUCUCUCAGCUUCGUCAUUUCCUUUAGGUAUGAUGAGACCAUAUCCACCAGCUUUUCUUUUGUAAACAAUAUUUAUCUCACCUGGAAUCAAGCACACAGCAACUCAGUACCUAUAUAAGUUAACAGAUUGCAGAGGAUAAGUGAAAAACAAAUUGAAACAAGCUGCAUAAGUUCAUACCAGUUUCUUCAUUCCUGAAACCAUAGAAAUCAUGAUCGACAUUUUCCAGCUGCUCAAUAGCUUCCGAGACAGUCAAAGGUGGCAUGUCAAAAAACUUUGUGCGAACAACCUGGCAAUCGGUUUAGAAUUUAGAGAGAGAAUCUAUGGCAGACAAGAAUGAUAUAUGCAGGUUCGCAGUGAAAUGAACUAACAAAGUUACAAAUUGAAGGAAUGUUAUUUAUAUAGUUUCAACUGUUGGUAUCAGUGCAUUGUGUAACAGUCUGUUACCAACAAUAUCGAAAACAAUUGAGGGAAGAUAACUGUGAAACUUCAAAGUUUAAGGAAGAGUCUUAUCCUGGUUGGAAGACUAACUCUAAGAGCAGAACAUAUAAGGGACAACUCCACUCAAAAAGAUCUCUAGAUAAGGAGAUAAAGAACUUGAAGUUCAAUUUCCUUGGCGGCAGGGGGGAAGGAAAUUUGAAUUUCUUUUCCCAUUUCUUUAGCUUGUUCUGUUCCAGUUUCUUAAUAUAAAUAACAGCCACUGUUGGCUGCAGUAGGGGCAUCUGAGAGUGAAUUCUGUUAUGUCUUUUGUUUAGAAAUUUAGGAGGUUGGCUACCUUGAAUAAUUCAGAACUAGGAACAAGGCUUGGCUUUGUUAUUUUAUUUCAUUGUAUAAGUUCCAGCAGUGAGUUGUUCAAUUUUCCAGCAGCUAGGCUUGUUACACAAUGGCACCAAGCUGCAAGGAAGGAUUUUCAGUGCCAAGCCAUAAUUUGAAAAGAUUGAGACUCAAAUCCUUUAUGAGCACAAAAUUUGUGUGAAACAAUUUCCUUUCACAGAGUCUAUAAAUGAUUAGCUAAGAGAAUCAACAUGGCAUUAGCCAUGGCACAAGGUAUGAUCCUAAAUUUCUGCAAAUUAGACAUGCCACACUGGUCACUAGAUGGUGGAAUAGGAAAAGCUCUUUAUGGUGUAUAGAUUAUUCUAUGACCAUAUUGAAUGAACUCAUGAACAGAUGAGACCUAAAUUUGGUGAUGCAAAACAAUGCAUAGCAACCAAAUAGAAGCAAAAACAAUAAUGACAACAUAAACAACGAGAUUAUUUUGAUUAAACAGUAAUUUAAGAGAGACAAACCUCUUCGAUGGAGUCCUCAACUUCUUGCUGUGAAACUUCAUCCGCAUCACCCUCCACCACUUGUGGCACUGGUUCUCUAACCUUCAGCCUAUUAAACCCUUUCAUGUGUCUACCAUGAUCAGACUCCUUCUCCUUAAUCUUCCUCAACUUUCUUUGGAUAAUUGACGACACCAGAUCAAUACUUGCAUAGAUUGUCUCAGCAUCUUCCUCUGCUCUCACCACUCCAUGCCUAUUUGUAAACAAAGUCACCUACAAGGAAAACCAGUCCAUGAAGAAAAGAAAAGAAACCAAUUUAAAGCAAACCCAAGAGCAUGAAAGCUAACUUUCAAUUAAAAAUGUAAAUGGUACCUCGCAUCUUCUAAUUCUCGGACCUUUCCCCAACUCUCCACCUCUAACAGACAAUCUUACAUCAACUUCCCUAACAAGAUGACUAUGUUUUUGAACUGCCUUUCCUACUUUGUCUUCCACAUGUCUCUUAACUGUAUCAGUUAACUGUACCAAACCAAACAUUUUGUUACAUUUACAAUUUGGACAGUAAAUAACAAAAAAAAAAAAAAUCAAAACUUGAAUCAUUUUAAAGAAUUCAAAGACAUAAAGAAUUAGAAAUGUAAAUUUAGAAGUUAGAAUCUUUAGAGAGUUUAAAAGCAAAACCUCCAAGUUUUUGCCUUGAAUGAUUAAUUUGACAGAGUGAAGUGGACCAUCCCAUGACAUCUUAACUGAGCAACCACCAUGGGUUAAAGGAGUCCUUGCUGUCCUUCCCAACUCAAUAAAGCUCAUAUUUUUGCCUAAAAAACUGGACUUGAGAGAUGAUUUUGGGAUCUGGGUCUUGGUAGAAAUGACUGAAGAAGAAGCUAGUGAAGUCUUAGGUGGUGUUGGUGAUAAUGAGACAAAUGGGUUGUUAAAGCUUGUCUGCAAAGUACCUUCUACAAGAGAAGCCAUUGACAAUUUUUCUUUGAGGUCUGUUUGGAUUGCUGAAAAACGUAGGAAAACGUGAGGUUUUUGGAAAGAUCUCUCUCUGGCAAGAGAAAUGGAUAAGGACACGUCAGCUGAUUGAUGUUCAAUGCUGGGUUUUGUUUGGUCCCCACAAGAUGUGGACUGAAUCUUUAGGCUCAUGAGCCCAGAAAGUUUCAAUCUUCAUGUCUUUAGUGGAUAUUAUGACAUGGGCUUAUGGGCUCAAUGUGUUGGUGCCCAUAUCUCAUUUCCUUAUGCUUGAACACCUGACCAAGUGUGAUCUUGCUCUGGCCUCCAAUUUCUUCUGCCCAGAAUCUGUGACAAAAAUCAAAAAAAGAAAAAAAGAAAAGAUAAGGAAAUAUGUUGAAAGCUUUGUUGGUUUUAAGCCAAUCAAAUUCUUUUGUGUGAUUAAAAAGUUAUGGUGUUAAUUGAUUCAACCAUCAAAUUGAAUCAAAUGUUUAGGUUAGUCUCUAUUCAUAAACAAAAUCUUAGUCAGUCUAGACUUUUAUUUUUCUCAUUUUUUCAACAAUCACGGAAAAUUUCAAAGCAAUUUGUAUUUCAAUCGAUUUUUUAUUUCUUGUAAGAAGAAUAAAUUCUCUAAUAUGUUAGUUUAAGAUUCAAACUUAGAAUGAUAAUAGAUGAGGAAAAUUAGAAUUUUGGAUAGUGUUUAAAAACAGGAGGGAUAAAAAUAUAUUUAGUUGGAGGAAUAAAAACCGUCAUAAAAUAAAUUUUUUUAUAAUAAUUUUAAAAUAAAUUCUUAUAAUUUCAAAAUAAAAAAUCUAGACACGUGUCAUUUUUGUCUCAAGUAUAUCUGUUUUUUUUUUAAUCUCAAAAUAAUAAUUAAAUGUUAACUUUAUAAAUAAUCUUAAAAGUAUGUUUUAUAUUGCUAAAUUACACACACACACACACACACACACACACACACACACACACACACACACACACAUAUAUAUAUAUAUAUAUAUAUAUAUAUAUAUAAUUUUUUUUAGAUGAUAGCCUUAAAAUCCAAAUUUAAAAAUCUAGAAAAAAGAUCCUUGAACACUAAACAUUUCCAUUAAAGAAAGGCUAAACCCUUAUAAUAUCAAAGUAUUAUUAUGAGGUGUUACCCUUCGCUAAACAUGUGUACGAGCUGUUACCCUUCGCUUCCAUGUUGUGCUGCCUUGCCAUUAAAGUUGUGGAUUCAACUUUGAAGAGUUUAUGAAAGGAAAAUACGAGAAAGGAAAAGGAUAAAGGAGGCACGAAGGGUCCGUAUCAUAAGAGCCAUAUGGCAUUGCUUUUGCAUUUUUGUGAGGACAGCUUAUCCCACUAGCUACAAUCUAAAGCUUGUAAGCAAACCAUGCAACACAUCAUCAUCUUCAACAAUGGCCACACACGUACAAGCUAGAGGGUGAUUGAUAAUUAAAGUAGACACGAGGAUUCUAAUGACUUGAUUAGUUUAAUUUAUCAUGUAAAAUAGAUGAAUGCAAUCCCAAUUGUCCAAUGAAAAGCAAACACAACAGGAGGUGAAAUCGAACCCCACAUGUUGUCCAAGAGGAGGGAUAGUGGGUACAUUGGUUUAGAUGCCAUUUCCUUCAAUAAUCAAGCGAGUAGAAGCAAGAUCUCAUGACCAAAGAGAGUGAAGCUACCAUAGCCCAAUUAAAAAAGAAGCAUGUCAUCUCUGGUUGACAAAAGCCGCCACCACAAAUCAUAACCAUCCUUUAAUGCCCUUCCAUGUGGAAAAAUCCUAACCAUGAGAUGGCAAUUGUCUCCUUCGAAGCACUUACAAAAAUAUCUCAACACCCCAGAUGAAAAAGUAUCCUCCACUCGCAAAAUAUCAAAAGAAAUAUCUGAGAGGGGAGAAGCAGCUGGUUUAAGGGGAAGUGGAAGAAACUUGUUCGCCUUUUGUUGUUGACCCUUAAAUAUGCACCACCAAACUAAAGAGACCAAAGCUUCCCAGUGAGCCAUCCAUUCACUUCUGAUCCUUAAACACUAUUACACCACAAGUUGGUACAUGGACUCUGUACGCAGAUGGGGUGGCUGAUGUGUCCAGAUAUGGACCCAUACACUAGUGGCAUCUAGAUAUUUUGGAUAUUUUUAGGGAUGCCAAAUUGUGGACUGUAGGAUCAGAUGGGGUAGGCAAUGGAAUCUAUAUCACAACCAUUGGAUCUUGGGACGAUAUUAGAGGUGGUGGGUUAUUUCAGAUAUUUUUAGAAUUUUUAGGAGAGAGUUAGAUUUUUCUGUGUUUUAUGCUGCACUUGCCAACAACAAGACCAAGAAAAGCACCUCCCAAAAAAAAGUGCUAAAAAAUACUGAGACUUUAGAGGCAGGGAGAGAUUGUAACGUAAUGGGGGAGGUAGUGAUUAGUAGUGGUGAAGAAUUGGAGGUGAGAUCAAAGAGUGAAAGAGAGGAGGAAAAACAGAGGAAACAGAGUAAAGAAGAAACAGGGGAGGUGAAAAAAAAGAAGAAAAAGAAGAAAGAAGGUGAAGGUUUGAAUGACGGGUUAGUGAGAUGGGACGGGUUUCUACCAAGAAUGGUGUUAAGGGUGUUGUUAGUUGAAGCUGAUGAUUCAACUAGACAGAUAAUUGCUGCUCUUCUUAGGAAAUGUAGUUAUAGAGGUAAGUUGCUUGAUCUUGUUUCUCAAACUGGUUCAAUUGUUGUGUUUUUAUUAAUUUUGUGAUUAUUCUUGUGAACUGGGUUCUUGUUGGUUUUUCUUUUUGUGUUCUUUUUUCUUAAGCAUGGUUGCUUGUGAUGUGUGUUUAUGUUUUGUUUGAUGGAGAAAUGAGGAGUCUUGUUUUGUAACAUUAUGGUUUUGGGACUCAAGUUGCAGGUUUUUUUCUUUUAAGUAUGCAUGUAUGUUGGUCUAAACUUGGCCUCUGAAGAUAAGGACUGUUAUGUGCAGCUUGUGAUUUGAGGUUAAGUUCUUGUUAAGCUAGUUAUUUAUUGACAUGAUUUCUAGUUGUUUUGAGACCAGGAAAAGAUCUUCUUUGUAUUAUAACGAGGAAUAUGUUUUCCUUCUUUCUUUUAAUUCUGCUAUCUUGCUCUUCUGGUUUUGAUGGAUAAGUUGGAACGAUAGCCAUAUAGGGAAGAAGGAAACAAAAAUUUCAAAUUUUACAGAAACUGGAAAGGUACAAGUGAUUUGAAUCAGUUCUGAUGCAUCUAACAAAAGAAAGCUCUACAAGGCCAACAGACAUCCACUUAAAGCAAGUCUAAUCUUAAUUUGUAGGGAUAUUGGAUGUUUGUUGGGCAUGAAAAAAUAACUAAUCCAAGUUUGGAAAAUAUGAAUGCACCUAAAUUGCCUAAGAACCAGGACUAUGGAGCAGAAAACAGGAUUGAAUGGUGGACUUUGGCCUUAAAAACAACUUUGGAUAAAGCUUUUCAUAUAUAUCUUGCAAUACUCAUUAUUUUAAGUAGUUCAAGAUUCAUGGUCAUUUGAAUUAGGCAUUGUGCUGAAAAAGAAAAAUAAUUAUCUUUUAGACCUUAUUAAGCUUCUAUCGAUGAAAAGCAAGUCUUCUUCUUUCCCAGCAUGGCUAAUAACAUGCUGCCAUACCUGGUGACAUCCAUAUGGGGAAAAUGUAUACUACCAGGACAUGAACUCCUUAUAUCCACUUAGAUUGAAGUAGCCUUUCAUCGCCCUACUAGAAGUCACUGUCAAAGAGCUCGCCCUACCUUUGGUAGGCCUAAGAUAGAAAUUUGGCUCUUGGUGUCAGGGAUCCUGUGCUUGCAGGCUUUAGGAAAUUUGACUAUUGGUGUGAGAGUUCCUGUCCUUUGACUUAUUUUAUUUCUACCACUUGAUGUCGCAAUAUAUUCAGUACUAAAGUAUAUGCCAGAUGCUAAAUAUUUCAUAACGUUUUGUAAGCACUGAGAUGAUUUUCUUCUUCUUUUUUGUUUUCUGUUGAGCAGUUGUUAGUGUUCCUGAUGGCUUAAAGGCAUGGGAGAUACUGAAAGGAAGGCCACAUGGCAUAGACCUCAUAUUGACUGAAGUGGAUUUGCCUUCGAUAUCUGGAUAUCCUCUUCUUACUAUUAUAAUGGAGCAUGAGAUUUGCAAAAACAUUCCAGUCAUAAGUAUGAUAGGAAGAAUGAAUUUCUAGAUGAAUAGAAAUGAUUUAAUUAUCCCCCAUGAUAAGGGAACUUACAUCUGCUUUUGGGUGAUUUUGCAGUGAUGUCCUCUCAGGAUUCAAUUAGUACAGUUUAUAAAUGCAUGUUGAGAGGUGCUGCUGACUAUCUUGUCAAGCCUUUAAGGAAAAAUGAACUGAGAAACUUGUGGCAACAUGUAUGGAGAAGACAAUCUGUAUGUCUUCUUUGCACUUAAUCGUUUAUAUCAUUUUCUCUUCUUUUCAUGUUAAUUUAAGGUUAUUAACCUCUCAUUCUAGAUGAGCCCUAACCAGUUCCCAUUUUCUCAGUCCCUUGCUGGAGGAAAUGGCCCCCAAGAUGAAAGCGUUGGACAGGACAAGAUUGAAGCCACUUCAGAAAAUAGUCCUGCCAGCAAUCAUGCAAGUGGAGAAAUGGCUUCUAUUCAGAGGAGUAAAGGGCAAACAGAGAAAGGGAGUGAUGCUCAGGUUAGUACUCUUUCAUAAAUGAGAGAGCAUAUGCUUUUCUUGGUGCAUGGCUUGGCAUGAGACCUCUCUAAAAAGAUGAAGUUUGUUCUUUCAUGUGCUUCUGUAAUAAAAGCAUAACUACCAUUCUGCCAAUUCACAUUUCUUUUAUUAGUAGCCUCAUGUGAAGAUUUCUUAUUAAAUGGAAAUAAAGGUGCCUCAGAUGUUUUUGAGGUGAAUUUUGUAGUGUUUAGUCGAAAAAGCUGGAAACAUUUCAAGCCAAAUACAAUUUACUCAGAUUAGGUCAUGGUGCUUGAAAGUUGAAACAUUAUUUGGACAACAUGGGCCCAUUCUUCUGCUAUAGCCUCAACUGAAACCCUUUGUCAGGUUUAAUUUAAAUGAGAACACCAUCUUUUAAAUCUUUAGUCAUUGUUUCAAUUCAUCCUCUUAGUCAGUCAUGAACUGAUUUCAAUUGCUUAUUCUAGACUUAUUCAGAUUCCAUAUGAGUCUCAUCUUACGAAUUGAUUCACUGUCCAUCUAGAAUGCUGAAUCCCUUAGGUGAAUGUGACUCAUGGGAUAAUUGAAUAGUUCUAGAAUCUCGAUUAUAUAUAUCAUCUGGGACAUACAUAUCAUCAUUUACGAGUCCACUUAUGAUUAAAAGAAAUUUCCUUCCUGUUUUGGUUGGCUACAUGAGGUUUCAUUUAGAGAGUGGAUGUUUGUUUUCUCUUGCAGAGCUCUUGUACAAAGCCAGACUUGGAAGCUGAGAGCAGCCACAUGGAAAAUAUGCAGGAAUUUUUGCAGCCUGUACGGAGCAUAUUUUCGUUGACUGACAUGAAUAUGCAGAAGCGUGAAAUGCAUGUGAAUCUGGGUCAGAAAUUGCUUUUGCAUGAUAGAGAAGCUGAAGGUAAAAGUACUGAACAAUUUCAUCUAGCAUUAUCAUAUUUGUUAAAUUCUUUGAGGAUAACUAACAUUUUGUGUAUGUUUCACUUGAAUUAGGUUCAGCUGCAGCUGCCCGUGAGGAUGCUAAUAUAAUGGAUGUGGACAAGGAAAUUUCUCCAGGAAAUGGAAGAACGGGUGCUUAUGUUGCCAUUGAGAGUUGUGACAACGAUGUUGCCCUUGCCAACUCUCACAGAGAAGCCUUUGAUUUCAUGGGAGCAUCUACUAAUCGCAGUUCUUCUUUCAAUAACGUCAAAAUCAACUUUGAUUCUUCUCCACAUUUGGAUCUUUCCUUGAGAAGAUCUCAUCCAAGUGGGUUUGAGAUUCGAGAUACGGAAGAAAGACGGGCUCUCUGGCAUUCUAAUGCCUCAGCCUUUACACAGUGAGUUCCUAUUUCUGUUCACUAUAUCGUUGAUACAAUUUAUGUUUUGGUUGUCACUAAACUAGCAGGAGAUAAACAGAUAUAGCCUGUAGCAUCUGUUUUCUAAUACAUUCAAUGAUGUUCCUGCAGGUACAUUAACAGGCCUCUACAGCUUCCACAUUCAGCACUGGAAAGUACUGGGAAUCAGAAGGAAUUAGGAACCAAUUAUGACAGAAAAAUAUCCAGUACUGGCUAUAACUCUGAUGCCCUGAGUCUAGCACCAAGCACUCAAAAAAGUGAGAUCUCUCUGGCAGCUGGUCAAACCAAGGAAUCUGAAAUUGCAACUUCAUCUCCUGGACAAAGAGUGUUUCCUAUCCAAAUUCCAGCGAAAGAAACAAGACUCAAUAAUCUAUGCAACAGUUAUGGCUCCGUGUUUCCCCCAAUAUUUUGCAAACAAUCAGGUUUAUCACCAAUGAUGAGUCCAAGUUCAGCUUGCCAGCAAGAGCCCACCUAUAAGGUGAACCAAUUUCAACAUUCCAAUCAUGGGAGCACCUCCGAACAGAAUCGACUUGGUCAACAUACAAAUGAUUCCACCAAUGGUUCACUACAAAAGCAAGAAGACAGAUUGGAUUCCUUGGAAGAUAGAGGACUUAUUUCUCCUGCCACUGAUCAGAGUGCAAGUAGUAGUUUCUGUAAUGGUGCUGCAAGUCACUUUAACAGCAUGGGCUAUGGAAGCACUUCUGGAAGCAAUGGCAAUGUUGAUCAAGUUGCUAUUGUCAGGGAUGCUUCUGAGAGCAAGAAUGAGGAAGGUGCUUUCACACAUUCAUACUCUCACAGAUCUAUUCAAAGAGAAGCAGCUCUAACUAAGUUUCGCUUGAAGCGAAAAGAGAGAUGCUAUGAGAAGAAGGUAUGUUGUCACCUUCAUCUGUCAUCUUCACCACUGUUGCAGCAACAUAGUAAUACGAUUAGCAUUGAUUAUUGUCUGGUUACAGUGACAAAGUGAGAAACACUUAACAACACCACAAUUAGAAUAGUAAAUAUGUGGUUCAUUUUAAAAAAAAUAGAAUUUAUGUGCAGGUUCGGUAUGAGAGCAGAAAAAAACUUGCUGAGCAGCGUCCUAGAGUGAAAGGACAAUUUGUUCGCCAAGUGCACAUUGAUCCCUCACCUGCGGAAACUGAUCAGUAGAGUGGAAAUUCAAGUGAUAACUUAGAGGGCACUGAUUGUAUCUUCGUUUUGCUCCUUGAAGUCUAGAGGGAACAAUAUGUUAGUCUGAAGUUGUUCCUGGCAUCACGUCCAUGCUUGAGCCGAUUUGUAGAUAUAACUGCGUAGUUUUCUAUUUCACAGGUUUUUCUUCCGUACAUUCCAUGAGGAACAUCCUCUCUUAAUUUUUGACGUUUAGGUUCUUUUACGUCAAAAACAUGUAGGUAUUUAGUACAUGAACUAGGAAAACUUGUCGUCUUCAUGUCUUGAAAUACAGCAAGAUCCAACCAGCUCGUCUAUGCCUGGUUUUCAAGCUUGGCUUCGUUUAUGUUUCUGUGGCCAUUUUUCUGACUAAUUGUUAUAUAUCUUUCAGACCAUUGAACUACAGGUGUUGUAAUUUGUUGAUUAUGCAAGUGAUAGUUUUGUAAAAGUGCCUUCUCAACUACAUAGAUAUUUUGAACAGGUUUUUAUGCCUAAUGGAACUGAACAGCAUGAUCUGUUUUUGUUUGUAUAUAAUCUGAAAUGAGUUAUUAAGAUGGUGGGUUAUUUUAGUCUGUGACUGACUUACAACUCCCGGAGCAAAAUUGAGUGGAGAUUGAAGGAAAGGUUUCUCUUUUCAGCAGCUCUGAUUAAAGAAUCCUGUUGUUCUCAAUAGCUCCGCCCUUGUAUUAUAGUUCAUGAUGCAGUCUUUUUGUUUAGCUGACUGACUGCUUCUAACAUUAAGGUAAUGUCCGGCAUAAAGCUUUGAAUCUUUUAAGAAAGCUGGGUGCUGGUUAAACAUUGUGCUUUCUCAUUGUUGUGGAAGGGUUUAUGUCUCAAUCAUUUGUUUUCUCGAGUGACUUUCCUUUUCCUGCCAGUACUGAAAAAACAUACAAGUAGGUCAAGUUCGGGUCUAAAUUUGUACCAAAAACAUGGGUUGCAUGGAUUAUGUUGUUGCUUCCUGUAACUAGGACAGCUGGCAAGCUUGGUAGUCAUCACACCAGUGCAAUGAUCACAAGUACUGAUGCGUUUUCCUGUGGGCUCAAAUAUGUUUUACAUCUUACACAAGGCUCCUUUUUCCUGAAGUGUUUGGUAUGGUGAAAGUGAAGUUUCAAAAGAGAGGAGUUGCAUCAGGAGCCACUCAGGUUGCUUGCUUUUUUCUUCCUACUUUUUUUUUAAUUUUUGGUGUACCAAAUGGCCCUGCCAAUGCACUUUGAAGGAUGAUGAUGGCUGACUGAUAGGACGUAUUUCAAUGGGAUGAUGAAGUAGUGGUAUAUACCAAAUGUAGAAAAAUACAUGGGCUUUAAAACAAUCCAGUUCACGGGGCACUGCCAUGAUAUCAGAACUUCAUUUAGCUUUUUCUGAUUGAUGGUUUUCAAAAUAUUGUUACCCCACCCUGGAAAAGAAUGCAAGGCAGGCAGGAUUGGAGCGUAACACUCCCAUUCUGAAGCAUUUAAGAGAUAGUGAGGAGGCUUCCUCGAAACUAUAUUUUGUUCCAUCAUUAGUUAAAAACUUCUUUUUUUAAAAAAAAAUAAAUCUGGGUUAUAAAAAACUACAAUAUAACUAUAAUAUAUAAUUUUUUCUAAUCCACACUUGCAACAAAAAUUACACCUAACACGUAGUGGCAAUACUGUGGAGAAUCCUAAACAGUGAGCUAGUACGAGGGCCACUUUCACCAGCCUCAUCUGCACAUCCUUUAAUUAUCUCUAAAAUAUCAAAGAAAUAUAAAGCCAAACUUCUUUUUUUAUCUAUCCUGUUAUAAAUAAUGAAUAAUGGGUCCAAAACGGGUCCUAUAACAAAGAAAAUAAGCAAAUUUUAUCCAGCAAAGAAGAACAGAUGAGAAAUCACUAAGAUCCUGGGGUCAUCUAGCUUUCUUUUUUGAUUGGAAGACACGAAAACUGCAAACAGAAGCCUUUCAAAAGUGAACCUAAAAGGCUAAAACCAUUCUUUCCCUUGAUUUCAAUCCUCUAAUGCCUUGUGGGUUCUGCAAGUAGGGUUAUGGUUUCUAACACGAAAUAUUCUUUUGAGGAUCCUAAUUAGGAGGUCCCAUGGCUUCAUCAUACAAGGCUUACCUGAUCAUGGCAUGGUAGAGUACUCGAACGGCUGAGAUUUCAUCAAACAUCACACUAACCAUAGUUUCUUAACUAACAUCCUACUAUACCAACCCUUUUCUUAAGCAAAAAGUAAUGGCAGCCGCUACUCAAAAGCUAGUUUAGAGAUUCUCCAUGUUUUCUCUUUGAACUCUUUCCUGUGCACAGCUCAAUAAAACAAAAGACACCCACAACUUGAAAACUCUUUUGUGAUUAGUUAAACAGGAAUAUUAAUCACCAUCAACUUAUUGUCCUUGAAUCUAAAUUUCAUUUUCAACAUAAUUAGUUAGUUUUUAGCCCUUUACUAGAACGUACACAAGUUGAGCAAGUAAAGAGAGAGAGUUACGGAGAAGCCACUAGGCCAAUGCAUUAUUACUCACACACUUAUCUCCACUACUCCACAAGAAAGGCUACUGGCUACUACACUAUAGUCUUGCUCUUUUAAAAGCCUUACUUUCCUUACAAUUAUCAUUAUAGUGUUUCCAACGUAUCCUAUCUUGUCAAUCAUCAUGUUAGCUAUAUGAUCCUUCCCUUGUAAAAGCAUGCAUAUAAUAUAAACCAGAAAAGUAAAGCCUGUUGAUAAUUACAAUGUUGAUAGAGGUUCCAAAUCUCAGAUACCGGGACCCUAUCAGAUGUUCAAUGCUCCUAGCUAUAUAUUUCUGUGAUUGUUGCCCACAAAUAACACAGGAACUGAAAAUAAUAGCUCUUGUGAUAGGAAUUGUAGGAGAAGUGUAGAUUUUUUUAAAGGUGACAAAGACCUAGAAAAAGACCACCUUCACAUAGCUCUAGUAAUGCUACGACAUUGAGUUGUGCUGGACAUUGUAAAAUGAAUCAACUCUUGGUGGAACCUGAUUAAACAAAGACAGUAUGAACAAUAUUAUCUUAUGGGGUCGACACAUAAAUUAAUACCGUAGAAGCAACCACCUCUUACCCUAACAAAUAUGAGAUUGCAAUCACUUUUUGAAUUUCCAAGUUCAUAUUGGAAAAUACUAUUGACUUCCAAGGCAAUGAAAAACAACAAGUCAGAAAGCUUUUUCUAAAAAGGAUAGCGUUGCCCCACCAUGUACACUAUAAGAUCCGUUACAUUCAGGGAAAGCAGGUGCACUAGUUGAAUUGAAUAAUCCAACGGUGGAGAUGAAUGCAUUACAUAUUAAUUUUAUAACCAUAGAUUUAAGGGUGAAUUCGAGAAGUUUACAAGGAAACAUCUCUUAACAACUCCUUUAUAUAUGAACCAGUCAAAAGCAUGGCAGAGCAAAAUAAUUGCGCUGCUUUGUGUAAUUUCCAGUGCUCCCUUUUAUUAACCCCCAUCAUUUCUGCCUUCCUUAGCCUUGUAAACUUAGCCUUGUAAACCUCCUCUGCUCAUCAUCCUCUCCCCUUCCCUCCCCCUCGCCUUUGCCUCCCUACUGCAAAUGUCUCUAGUCUCCAUAGAAUCUCCAAAACACUGUGCCAAGCAAGGACUAAACGUCAACAAGCUAUCCAAGAAGCUUUUCUUUGCCUCUUCGGCAUUCUUCACCACACUUCUCUCACUAAUAUUGAUCAUCUGGCUUAUCCUGCGCCCUGCCAAACCUGAGUUCUCUCUCAAAGAGGCUGAUAUCUACCAACUCAGCCUCUCAGCUCCUAACCUUCUUAACUCCUCUAUCCAACUUACCCUACUUUCCAAGAACCCGAAUCAAAAAGUCGGCGUUUACUACGACGAAUUACAAGUUUAUGCUGCCUACAGGGGUCAGCAGAUAACUGUUGACUCCCCCCUUCCUCCAUUCUACCAAGGACAUCAGGAUAGCAAUCUAUUAACAGCAUCUUUAGUUGGAACUGGAUUGCCUGUGGCUCCAUCCUUCAAUUACGAAGUGGGGCGUGAUCAGACUGCUGGAAAACUAGUUCUAAAUCUAAGGGUUAAUGGAAGGAUCAGGUGGAAGGUAGGGACUUGGGUUUCAGGCAGAUACCGAAUCAAUGUUAAUUGCCUUGCAGUUAUGGCUCUUGGACCUACUCUUCCAACAGGACCUUUGAGUUCAAAGCAAGGGACUGCAUGCUCCACCACUGUCUGAAUAAGAUCCGCCAAGCAACAAACUAAGCUACUAGUGAGUUACUUAGUACUACUUGCUAAGAUAUUUAAUCUUGUGGUCUACAUGUUUUUGCUUCUCCGAAGUGUUGUAAAUUAAUUAUAGUACAAGCUAAGACUACAGUUAAUUAAGAUGAGAGUAUUAAUGAAACCUUGUGGAUUUUGCACUUUUAUCUUUUAUCAUGGCAACUUCGAUUUUGCUUAGCAUGUGAUAGUUGGAGAUUGAAAAGGCAGGAUUCCAGAGAUCCUUGAGGUGGGUUUUUUUAGGUUGAAGAUGAUGUUGAGGGGUUCUUACCAACCCAGCGGCAAUAACGGAAGCGGCAGAAAUCAAUGGAUUCAUUAUAAGUUCCUCGCACCAAAAGUUGGUAUUGGGCACGCUUUAUUUGUUUGAGUGUUUCAACUUUGCUUCUCUGAAUGUUCUCUGAGCAGAAAGAAAUGGAGUGAGACUGAUAGAGAUGAGAAUCUGAGGAGAAAAGGAGAUGAAGGCAGGAAAUUUACUUGCUGCCUUUGCCAUGAAUGAAAUUUCCACGUCAAUCCUUCAGCUUUAGUGCUCACAGGAUAACAUUAGUGCUCCUGGGUCCCUAUGACCAUAAGAUUUCUGGAAUCUUUUCUCUCAAAUUUACUUUCUUCUGUCUGCCUUUCAAACCAUACUACUCACGUAACACAACUGAAUCUGUAUGCUAAUGAAUAUACCAAGGAAUUUUUUUACCAAGGAACAUACUAAUUCCAGGUCAUGGAAUUUUCUGUCUCCAAAAGCCCUAAAAAUAUUAUAUUGAUCAUACACAUCUACUGCUGCAAGUGAAGAAUAAAAUUCCAGAUUCCAGAUUUUUACCCUUCUUAUCCGACCUCUCCUGUCUCCAAAAAUAAGGCUAAUUGAUUAAAAAAAUACCAUGAACUUUCGGGUCAACACAGAAAGUUAAUUUCUAACCUAUUUUUAUUCUGAUUCUGGUCGUGUAUUUAUUUAUCAAUAUAUAAUAUUGUUUUCUCAUCCGAAUUGUUGUAUGUUUAUUAAAUUUGGCCACAUAUUAGUCAAUUAAAACAUGGCAUGUGUUCUAAGACACUCCCCAAACAUGCGAUCACAAGAACAUGUGUCAUGUUUUGAACUUAAUAGUGGACGCUUUUUUGGAUUGAAGGACUACAGUAAUUUUGGAAUCCAAAUCAUAUUUCCUUUUCAUCAAAGGUUGAUGAGCAUAUUUUUUAAGCAAUUAGCCCAAAAAUAAUUCAAACUAUCGAAGUAAAAUAGUAAACCAAAGCUAAAAUGUGUUCACACCAGAGGCCAAACUACUGCAUGUAAAGACAGGAAUAUACUCAUAUAAAUUCUUAACUCAAGGAAGGACAAGGGCAUAAAGAAAGAACAUACAUGUGCCACCACCUUUUAUAUUGCACAUCUUUUGCCUUUUGGUACCUUUUACUGGCAAUGUCUAUUCUUCACAGCUAUAUGAGAGCUCGCUAUCAAACAGUCAAAGCCAUUUUGUGACUAACAAUUGAUGUUGUGGUGAAAAAAAAAAGUAAUACAUUCCAUUACUAUUUCUCUUACCUAAGAAAGAGAAACGUCUAUUGCCACAAUUUUCAAAAGUGAUAAGCCUUUUCAAUAUGAUUUCAAAAGCUAGCUGCUUUCAACCUCGUAUACCUUGAGAACUUGCUGAUGAAGAACAGCAUUUUAACAGGGUUAAAUGCAGCACAAGCUCAACUAAGAUGUAGAGUGUUUCACGUGAAGCAAGUAUUUUUAUUAUAUUGAGUUGAUAAGCUUUUCAGCUCAAAAAUAGGCAUCUAUUCCCAAUCAAAGCACAAAAUUGCCACUGUUAUUUGCUAAUGGAAUGUAAGAAAAAUAAGCAUGCCACAGAAUGGGACUUUGUUUUGAUUUUUACGUUUGUUUCAUCUAAACAAAAUAUUUAAUUCUGAUGGUAAAAUCCAAUCACAUCAUUCUUUGAUUCAAUCCAUGUAUCUUCUCUUCUUUUUAUUUAUUUAUUUAUAAUAGUCGAGGUGUUUUAUUUCAAAGACAGGUCUACCAUUGAGACAAUGGUAUCCCAGUUAGAAAAAAGUUAUUAAAAGUACAAGUGAAAGCAUUGAUUUGCAAAGAUAAAGGAGGAAUGCAAAAUAUAUACACAAAAAAGAUUUGAAUUGUAAAAAUUAUGGAUCAUCACUUAUUUGUCCACUCUUUGGGCUUCUAAAUAGAUCAUUCUCAGUAUAUGAGAAAUUUGCAUCCAUAGCUUUCAACCCGAGAGACAAACGAUGAAGAAUAAACUCAAACAUUGUAUUCCGAACUGACAUGAUAUUUUCAAAAAUCAGUUUAUUUCUUGCACUCCAAGUGUUCCACAAAACCCCAUAAGACAAUAUUGCAAGUGUUUGUCGCUGGAAUUAACCUUUUACUAGAACACUCCAUUGCAAAACAACUUGAUCAAUAGACUCUGGCAUGCACUAACUAAUACCCAACCAAUUCAUAAAACGUUUGCAAAGGUGCCAAGAUGCAUAACAAUAAAGAAAAAGUUGAUUCACAUUCUCUAUGCCAGUGUUGUAAAUAGGGCAAGUUGCUUGACUGAGAUUAAGCAAUCGCCUCCAUACGAGAAAAUCCCUUGUACAUGUUCAAUGUAGGAGUAAAAGCCACAAGAACAUUUCAAUCUUAGAGGGAGCAAAUUCAUUCCAUAUCAGUUUAGUGAAAUUGAAUGUAUAUGAAUACUCUGCUUUGUAUAUAUACUCUGAAUAAUCUAAGAACAUUUCAAUCUUAAAGGGAGCAAGACUUGAGAGUCUAUUGUCUAGUGCAUUCAGCUGCCUAUUGCCUUAAAUCCUCUUUGUGUGCACUCAAGUUGGCCCUAUCUAAUAGGACAACAAGCUGUUGAAGUUGUGUCUAAUCUGAAGAUCUUAACCUCGGAUUCCAUAUAAAGUCCUAGUGCUAUGAAUCUUCCCUAAAGUCCCCCAUUUCUACUAGUGUCGCUGUUUUGGAUUUUUAUACUUUAUAAAGCCGUAGGAAACAAGAUUGAAAAGUCCCUACCUGUAGCCAUUUAUCUGUCUAGAAUUUUAUGGUUUUCCCAUUACCCACCUUGAAAUAGCACUCAUUAUUCAAGAUAGUUGAAGUUGCCAAAUCAAAGUUAAUAAUGGAGUAAAUGCCUUUCCAUGGCUGUGAUAAUGUAGCACUGAAAACUGGAAGGCCAUUGACAUAAGAAGGCUUAUACUUGUGUUUGAUAAUGUCCUACCACCCUCCAGAAUUGGAGUCUCCUAGCUACCAUAGCCACUUAAAUAACUACUUUUUUUUUUCUUUGUAAAGAACCCACACCUAGACCUCCUCUUGCCUUAUCUCUCGCAACCACUUUCCAAGAUACCUUACAAAUCUUUCUUGUAUCGGAGACACCAGCUUAUAGAAUUAACCUUCGAUGGAUAGAAGAUAUAAUUUGAGCAACACCUUUUAGCAUUAGAAAAAUAGACAUAUAGUAUAUGGGGAGUGUACAUAUGACUGUUUCUAGAAGACAAACCCUACCAGUCAUGCUUAACAGUCUUCUUUUCCAUAAUCUAAGUCGUGUUCUGAUUUUAUUGAUGACUGGCUUCCAAGUUGAAAGUUUUGUAAGAUUAGCAUCCAGAAAAAGUCUUAAAUAAGUGAUAGGCAAUUUAUCUGGAAGGAAUUUAGUGUGAUAGAGCCUUAGAUUAUGUUUAGUUAGUGUCUUAAGACAUAAAUGAUAGAUAUGAAAGUGAUAAAAACAUAUUUGAGCACUAGAGAGAUGAAGAUAGAACACAAAAUAAAUUUAUUAACAAUUUUAAAGUGAUUUUUAGUUUUUUCAAAAUAAAAAAUGUAUGGAAACAUUUUUUUUUUUUUUUUAGUUUUUGUCUCUUGUGUAUUGAAGUGGUAACUACACCUUAACUUAAAGCCUAAUCAAACCAUCUUGUUCAUAUUGCACUUGUCCAAAAUACAAGAGAAGAGCAUUCAAGUUUGAGUUAAUUUUACACCUAAAUUAUUUUAUUUUCACAAUCAAAUCAAUAUCUCAAAUAACUCUUUUAUUAGUAUCAACGACACUCAACACAUCUUAGUAUAAAAUCCUGUUUAUUAAUUUUUAUAUUUUAAAAAUAUUUUUGAAAAACAACCACAAUCAGAUCUUAGUCUUAAUGGUCACCAUCUUUGUCACCUUCACAUCACAACAGGUCCAUAUCACACUAGAAUGACACCAAAACGAACAUAUAUAUUCCUUAUUCCUUGAAAAUCCUCAUAAACUCAUCUACAUAUUUACAAAUCCAGGACCGAAAGCCACUCUUCUUUAUAGGCAAAUCCCCAACUUUGUUUCUAAUUUUCAAGCAGCAGAAGUAACAACACCACCACUAAACAAAUAAAUAAUCUCCACCAACAUCAGGAAUGUGGGGUAGAGUUAUCCAUGUGGUAAGGGAGAUAGAGGUGAUGAAACAGAGUGAAGUGAAGAGUGAGCGAGAGGAGAUGAGGCACAUAAAAGGUAUCUUGAGGCGAAAAGUUUUCACAGAUAUACAAGUAGGAAUUCUUUCCAAACACAUCCACUUUCUUAUUUGCACUAAAUUGAUUCGAUUCAACUGGAUUCCAUUUCCCUUUGGCUUUCAAAAAAGUUAGGAAACUACAAAAGGGUUGUUCCUUUACCUAAAAUGGCAAGUCAAAAUCACCAGCGGUCUCCAUAAUUUACAUUAAAGGAUAUUUUUUUGGAACAUGGCAAGGUUUUGAUCAUAUGAUUCAUUAGUUGAAUCAAUAAUUAGAGGAUCACAUCCAAAUAAGGCCAUUAUAAACUUACUUCCUCUAGGUCAUUAAACUGUCAUGCUUAGAGACAAUCUAACUAGCAAUAAAUUAGAUUAUGUAAAUCAAAUCAAUCAUAUUUUAAGAAAAACAAUAAUUAUAUGAUUCAUGUAAACCAAAAUAAUUAUCAUAUUAUAACAAAAUUAAAUUGCAACAUCAAAUGACGACCUAAAGGCCUUAAAAAAGAAAGAAACAAAAAGAGGACCGGCCCAGCAACCAUGUGAAAAUAUGAAUACCUAAGGUGUGUUACAGCGCUCUCUCAUCUUCCUGAAAGCUACAUACAUAUCUGUGUAUAUAUGUAUAGCUACUCCCAAGCAGCAAAAAUUAGUAACAUGGAUACCAAAGUCCUUUCCUCUAGCAUCCAGUAUACGAACUUAUCGGCAAGCUAUGUUAGGCCAGAAUCUGAACAUCCCCAAUUGCGAGAAGUUUACCGUGCAAAAAUGUUCCUGUCAUAGAUUUAGGUUGUCAAGAUAGGAACCAAAAUGUCCAACAAGUUGGCGAUGCCUGCAAGAAGCACGGUUUAUUCCAGGUUAGACCCUUUUGCUUGUAAUGAGAAAUUGAUAGAAGAGCUCAAGGCUGAAAUGCUUCCAAAGACACUCCAUGAUUGAUCAUCUGCCAUUCAUAAACCAAAAGAUUCACAAUAUAUACAAACCACCUAUUUAAAUUAUCUAGCUAUCUAUACUCUAUCUAAUCAUCCUGCCAAAAUAAUCAAGUAAUGAAAGGAUUGAUAAGCCCUGACGAGACAAGUUUCAAAAUAUUCUACUACUAUUAAAAUAUAAAAGAAAAGAAUAGAAAAAACAAGGAAGAUAUAGAAGAUAGGCUAACCUGGAAAAAGCCAUAGUUCUUGCAGGCAUCGCCAACUUGUUCGGCAAUUUGAUCCCUUUCCUGACAACCUGAAUCUAUGACGGGAACAUUUUCGCACGUUGAAACUUCCCACAACCGGAGACGUUCAGAUUCCGGCCUUACAUUGCUUGCCGGCAAGUUUGUAUACGGGAUUUCAGAAGAAAGGACUUUUGUAUCGAUAUUCCUAAUUAAAAGAAGUAACAAAAGAUGAAAAAAAGACAGAAAAUUAUUAUAAAUUAAAGAGUGGGUACUAAGAUGGGCACCCUUCAAUUUUUGCUGCCUGGCAUGUGUGUGGCUUCCAGGAAGAUGAGAGAGCUCCGCAACACCCCUAAUGUAUUUAUACUUGCACGUGAAAUCUAGGGAGGCCCUUAUAAGUCGUCAUUUGAUGCUUUAAUCUAACUUUAUUAUAAUAUGAUGAUUAGUUUGGUACAAAUAAAUCAUGUAAUUAUUAUUUUUUAAAAAAAUAUGAUUGAUUUGAUUUGCAUAAUCAAUUCUAUUUUAUUUUUUUAUCGGGAAAUUAAUUAAUUGGAGGGAGUUGGAAUCCCUCGUUGAUAGCUAUUUGCUGUGCAGGCGGCUUUAAGUUAAAUACCACAAAGAAGAACUUUUUACACUGGAAUAUUAACACGUGAUAUGGGAUAGGUUGGGUUAAAUUUUUCUUAACCGUAAAAAAUUUUUUAGAUAUCGCUAUUUUUUUUAUGAAAAAAAUUUAAAUGAUGUAAAGGUUGAUUUGAUAUAACUCAAAUGAUUUUACGGGUUUAAAAAUAAUUUAUACAAACCCGUAAAAAUAUAAUUUGACUAAAAGAAUUUUAAGAUAAUAUUUUUUUUAAUAUUAAGAUAACAAUAUAUUGAAUUGACUUGGGUCAAUUCGAGUUAACAUGUCAAAUUUGCGACCUGAAUUUUGAAACUAUGAUAACCCCAUAUAAAGUAAAUCAAAAUAAAUUAUGAAGUUCAAUUCUCAAUCAACUCAAUAUUAAAUAAUGAAAUGAAAAAAAAAAUUAAUUAAAAAAGAACCUAAAAAAGUGACCUGAGUUAACUGUCAAAACCGUAACUCGGAUCAUGAAAGUGAUGUAACCCUAUGGAAGACAAAUAAAAAAAAAUUAUGAAUUUCAAUCCACAAUAAGUUCAUUGUUGAAGGAUGUUAUUAAAAAAAUAAAUCAAUUAUAAAAUAACAUAAAAAACAACCUGAGUUAAUUUAUCAAACCCAUGACCUUAGUCAUUAGUCCAAGAUAACCUCAUAGAAAAAAAAUUAAAAAAUAACUUCAUUUAACUCGGGUUAACCUAUCAAUUUUACACUUUGUUCAUGAGAUUGAGAUAACUCCAUAGAGAGCAUAUUUAAAACAAAUUAUGAAGCUCAAUUUCUAAUCAUCCUUAUCGAACCCAAUGUUGAACGAUAAAAUUUAUAAUUAAAAAAUGACAAAAAAUAAAGUCAACUCGGGUUAACCCAUUAAGCACUAUUAUCGAGUCAUAAGGUUGUGAUAACUUAAUAAAAAGCAAACUGAAACAAAUCAUGAAGUCUAAUUCUCAAUCAAACACGAUAUUAAAUGAUGAAAUUGAGAAAAAAAUCAAUUAAAAAUAAUAAUAACUAAGUCAAUCAAGUUAACUUGUCAAACUCGGGAUCCGGAUCAUGAGACUUGGCCAACCCAAUAAAAAACAAAUCCAAUAUUGAAGGACUUGUGACCUGAGCCAUGAGACCGAGAUAACCGUUUAGAAAAAAAAAACAAAAACACAACUCAAUUUAACCAAGGUUAAAAUGCUAAAACUUGUAACCUUAAUCAUGAGACCAAGAUAUCCCUAUAGAAAAGAAAUAAAAAAAAUAGUAUGAAGCUCAAUUCCUAACCGUCCCAGUGUUGAAUGAUGAAAUUGAAAAAAAAAUAAUUAAACAAAAUGACAGAAAAAAACAACUUGAGUUAACUAGUAAAACAUUAUUCCUGUGUCAUAAGACUUAAAUAACAUAAUAGAAAGUAAAAAAAAAACAAAUCAUGAAAUCUAAUUCUCAAUCAAUCCAAUAUUAAAUGAUGAAAUUGAAAAAAAAAGUUAAUUAAGAAAAAUAAAAUUGAAUCAAUUGAGUUAACUUAUCAAACAAAAUUAACUUGCCAAAUUGGCGAUCCAUGUUAUGAGAGUAUGAUAACUCAAUAAAAACCAAAUUUAAUAUUAAAAAAAAACAUUGGUUAAAAAAUCAAAGAAAAAAAAAACAAAACAUUAUUCAAAUAAAUAAUGAUUUGUGAGGAGGGGUACAAUAAAACCCCUUCCUGUUUUAGUUUAUAGUUAAUAUAUUGUUAAUUAAAUUAAAUUACUUAAUAUAUUUAAAAGAGUUAGGGUGUCAAGUUAUUUGGUUCAAUGUUCAUAUAAUCAGUAAAGUAAGUUAUUAUUAUUUUUUCUAACUUUUUUUUCCUUUCAAUCAAACCCUUUUAAAGCCAAAUUAUAAGAAAUUAGGCUUGAAAUUAUGGUACAAAUAAAAAAUAUAAAGAUAGGGGAUUAAAAUGUAAAAUAUAGAGAAAAUACAUGGUUCAUCUCACAUUGAUGAAAACUUUUAUUUUAGUCUAAAAGUUUUUAUUUUAUUUAUUUUUCAGUCACUAAAUUAGAGAUAAGAGAGAAAAACUUACUUGAAAAUGACGAAGAGAGAAAAAGUGAUCAGUUGAAAUUAAUUACGACUAUGAAAAAAAUUGAUCUUGUUGUCAAAUGAUUUUAUUAAACAAAAGGAGUUUUAUCGUGGUGUUCUUUAGCCUUCAUCUUACCUGAAAUUAUAGAUAUGGUCUUGGGAAGUUUUAUCAAUUCAGGGUGAUUUUUUUUCAACUCACUUUUAGGUUAUUUAAUAUUGUAAAUGAGUUUAUUUAGGUCUUUCAAAGUAAUUUUUAAGUGUUUUUUAGUAUAAACAACUAAAAAUAAAUUUUUGGAUCCAAAAUUUAUCUUCCUCAAUUUUCCAAACACAUUUGCGGUGGCUUUAUUAUAGAAAAUAAAUAAACAAGUCAUAUAUUGUCUAAUUUUUUUCUAAGAAAAAAGUAAAUGACAAGUCAUCUUCCUUUUAUUAAAAAAAAAAGAACCUACCCCUUUUUUAGUUUUUAUAUAAUUUAUAACAUCUAUAAGUAUUUUUUUCUUCAAUCAUAUACAAAAUAUUAACUUGUUUGAAUGUUUCAUUUUAAAUUUGCUUUUAAAACCAUAAUAAAUUUUUAUUUAGAAAACAAUACUCAAAAUUUACAAAACAUCUCAAUACUAAGUUUAGCCUAAGUGUUAUGAGUGUCCUUUUUUUUUUUUUUGUAUUAUGAAACAAAAGAUAAUUUCAAAAUGCAAAGCUAAGAUGAGAGUUUUAAUCACAAUAUCAAAAAAAUUCUUCAUAAUCUAAACAUUAUUUUUUAAUGUUUAAAAAAGUUGUUUGGUAUUAAUUCCUUUCUUUAUUGUUGUUGAUCAUAGUGUUUUGAGAUUCUACAUGAUUUGGUUUUUGUUUCAUCUAGUGUUAGGUGGAUUGUCGAGCAUGUAACGUUUGUCUAGUCUAUGCAUCUAUCUGCCAGUUUAAUGAAAAUCUAGACAUGGUUUUGGCUGUGAAAAACAUCAAUCUGAUGUUGACUGGUGCGAUAUUAACUGCAAAAAUUAUGAAAAGCGAGACAAAAGCAACCUAGCUAGUAAAGUGUGGUGGGGAUGGAGAUCUGAAAGUGGCUCUCUGGCCCAAAGCAGACGUUGCUCUUUUAUUUUUGGAUGGUUCCCCGAGAUUGAGGAAUCCAGAAUUAUGCUCGUUAAGUGCUGGAUUUUGAGAUCCGCCAUCACUUUCUACUGUUUUUCUUACCAGAAUCCCACGUGUGGUUAAUAAGAACAAGAUAUAAAUUGUCCAUUGCAGUUAUUGUACAGUCCAGAAACAUCAAACUUUGUUUUUCUAAGCUAGCCCGUACUUGUCAAGAGGAUAGCAAUGGAGUCUAAGAUAGUACCUCCAGCUGUGAACCUUCUCCUUCUUCACAUUUAGACUUGUAGAAAGUCUCAUUGUCUUUGAUGGAUUAUCACAUUACAGAAUCAGCUUCUCCUAACAAUUUCUCCUCUGCUUCCAAAUACACUCCAUGAAUGAUCACCUGCCAUUCAUAAACAAAAAGAUUCAUUGUACACAUUGAAAAUAUAUUAAAAUAUAUAUUUUUUUUAUUUUUGACAUUGAAAACCAAAUUCAUCAAAAAAUUCUUAAAAAAACCAUUAUUGUUUUUAGAGAGGCUCAUUCUAGCACCCUCCCACCAAUACACAAAUACCACUUAACUAUAGCCAACCCAAACUACUCAUCCUUAUUCUUUCUUUCUUCUCACAAUGGACUAAACUUUGUUAAACAACCCAAAGAAAUAAAAAGAACUAUAAAAAUAAAAAAGGAGGAGGUUAGGGUUUCAUUGAUACUGCAUAAUCACAAUAAUCUAAAUGAAUAAGUUUAAUCUAAAUACAAAGAGAUUAUAUAUAUACUAAUCUGAAAAGAAAAUAAAAAUAUUAUUUCACCCUUAAUAAAUAAAACAAAAUAACCAUAUAUUUCUUAAUAUCUCCCCUCAAAUUUACGAUGCGACAACUAUAAGCAUUAAUAGUUUGCCAACAAGAAAACGCAAACAGGGAAUAAAAUGCGACUUGGUAAAUAAAUCUGCAAUCUACAAAGAAAAAGAAAAAGAAAAAAGCAAAGUAAUGGUGUCAUGCUUGAGACGAUGACGAGUAAGAUGACAAUCGAUCUCAAUGUGCUUAGUUCGUUCAUGAAAAACCAAGUUGUGAGCAAUCUGAAUAGAACUCUGGUUGUCACAAUACAUAGGAGUGGGAUGAGAAAGGAAAACUCACAUAUCUGCAAGUAACCAACAUAACCAAACAAUCUCUUUGGUAGUAGAUAUCAUAGCAUGAUAUUUUGCUUCGGUUGAAGAUUGAGAAACAAUUGAUUAUUUCUUGUUAUUCCAAGAAAUAAGAGAAUCACCUAAAAAAAUACAGAAACCAGUAACAGACUUGCGAUCUGUGGGAUCACUAUCAUUAUCAGCAUUAGAGUAUGCACGCAUCUCUAAGAAAGAAGUGGAUGAAAGUAAAAAACUCUAAAAGAUUGUACCCCGAAAAUAUCGCAAAAUACAAAGAACAACUGCUCAAUAAAUGGUAGUAGGAGAAACAACAAAAUGACUAACAACAUCAAUAAUAUAUUCAAUAUCUGGACGAGUAAUAGUGAGAUAUAUCAAGCUCUCAACAAUAGUAUAAUAUAAAGUAGGAUCUGACAAAGAUAAACCAUAAAAAAAUACUGUGUGUUAACCUCAAUGGGAGUAUCUACAGUUUUAUUAUCAGUAAGUCUAACCCACUCAAGAAUAUCUGCAACAUAUUUCGACUAAGAAAUGAGAUAAUCUCUAGGUGAGUAGAUUACCUUAAUAUCCAAGAAAUAUCGUAGUGAACCUGAGAUGAUAAACUAUCAGAAUCCUUAGAAAAAAAGAUUCAUAUUAAUAAGAUCAGAUCUAGUCAAGCUAUUAGUAGUGGAUGAAAUAGAAAAUAAAGGUAUAUGCUUGAGAAAGACAACAUGACGAGACACAUAAAGUUUUUGAGUUAUUAAAUCAAAAUAACAAUACCUCUUUUUACCUUCACCAUAACCAAGAAAGACACAAAUAGUAGAUCGAGAGGGAAAUUUAUAGUGUUCUAUAUGAGGACGAAGAACAAAACAAAGUACAACAAAAAACUCUAAAGAAUAAAUAAUCAAGAGCAUACCCAUACAAUUUUUCAAAAUGAGAAAAACCUGAAAUAUGAGAAGAUAAAAUUGUAUUAAUCAGACCUACAGUAGAAAGAACAACUUCUCCCCAAAACACACUAGGAACAAAAGUAGACAACAAGAAAGAAUGAGUAGUUUCAACAAUGUGCCUAUGUUUUCUUUCAACAACGUCAUUUUGCUCAAGAGUAUCUAUGUAUGAAGUUUGGUGAAUGGUUUCAUCUAAGGUAAGCAACUCACAAAAUCUAUUAGAAAUGUAUUCCCCACCCAAAUCACACCUAAAAUAUUUAAUAUAGCAUAAUGUUGAGUUUUGACAAGAGCUCGAAAGGCUGUAAUAUCUCAAAGAAUUUAGAAUAAUGUUUCAUUAAAUAAACCAACAAUAAUGAGUAUGAUCAUCAAUAAACAAAAACAUAAUAUCGAGACCCUCCUUUUAUGGAAAUAGAAGAAAGUCCUUAUACAUUAGAAUGAAUCAAAUCAAAUGAAAAAGAAAAAACAGAAAUACUUUGAUUAAAAAGUAAAGCGGAAAAUUUUGUCAGUUUACAUCCACUACAAUUAGAAAUAUCACAAGUUUGUAAAUUUCAUAAAGCUCCUAUGGAUACCAACAAUCUCAAAUGAGAAGACGAAACAUGACCUAGACGAGAAUGUCAUAAAUAAAAACUACAAAAAAAAGAGACUCAAAUGAAAAAAAGACAAAUCAACACCAGUAGUAGCAGCAGCAAUAGUAACUGACACUUUUAACUCAUCUAAAAUAAAUAGUCUCUUCUACCUAUGAGCUGUCUUGAUCAACUUCUAAGACUACUGAUCUUGUACACAACAACAAAAAAAGAAAAAAUGACUAAAUAAUCACUAAAAUUGCAUAAUUGAUCAACAUAAACAAGAUUUAAUAUGAGUUUCAGAAUAAGAUAAACAUUAGAGAAAGACAAGUGAUGUGUGAUAAUAGAAUCAACACCUGUUAAGGGUAUGCGAGUGCCAUCAACAGUCAUGACAGGAAUAGAAGGUGAAGGGGACAUAGAAGCAAAAGAUGAAAAAUCUAGAGAUAUAUGACGUGAAACACCAAAAUCUAAAACCUAUUCAGAAAGUGACAUAUUUAAAGAACUAUGAGGCAACUAAUAUACAGAAAAAGAAGCAGAUAUAGGUUGUGGCUGUAAGGAGAGAAACUUCUAAAAUUGCUCAACCAAAAUGCUAGGAUCGGUGAAAAGACCCGAUGAAAUUGUUGCUGCUAUAAGCAUUAGAUUGUAACUGAUAGCCAGGCUUCCAAGCUUAAUUCUGAUGUCUUAACUUGAGAUACUAAGUCUUUUAAUGACAUUUCUGCUUACAGAAACAGCACUCGUCGAAGGCAACCCUUAUGUAAGGCUUAUUUUGAUUAUUAGAGAAUGACUUAGAAAAUACUGUUAGCACAUAAGGAUUAGAAAUAAAAAGAAUUCUCUUUUCAGAAUAAGACUAAAGACUUAUUUCUUCAUCCAAUAACUCACUAACAACUAAGUCAACAGAAGGUAGUGGAGAAUGAUACAAAAUUGAACCUCUAAGUCCUUCAAAAUCAUUGCGAAUCACUGUUAAAAAAUGUAUCAAUCGUUGUUGCUCUUUAAGAGCAAUAUGGGCACCACAUGCCUUUAAUUCUGCCGAUUCUGUAAUAGCCAAUUGAUCUCAAAGAUCUAUCAUAGUAGAAUAAAACUCAUGUAUACUCAUAUUUUCCUGGUGAAGAGCUCGUAUAUCAUUCUCUAAUUGAUAUUGCUUUGCAAAAUUUGAUUGCGUGAUAACCUUUGCAUAUGAUCUCAAAUCUCCUUUGCUGUCUCAUACUUCGCCAACUAUAUACCUAUGGAAUGCUCAACAUAAUUGUUAAUCCAAAUAAUAAUCUUUGCAUUUCCAUACAUAUAUCAAAGUAGCAUAACCUUCAUUAGUAUUCUUAGGUAUCACGGAAGUUCCACUAACAUAUCCCCUCAUCAUUUUACUCUUAAAAAAAAUUAUCAUCACAUAACUCCAAUACGAAUAACUCUUUCCAUCCAACCUCACACUCACAGACUGAAGCGAAUCAUCUCUUUCAGUAGCCAUAAUCAACAAACAAAGAAAACUAGAACGCAAAAGAAAAGAAAAUGAAAUACUAGACUGUAGAAACUAAACAAAUAUCUUCUCGAAGUUGGAUAUGUGAAAGCUGUGUUUGAGAUUAACCUUUAUUUUAUGAAACCAUGCUCUGAUAUCAUGUUAAACAAUCCAAAGAAAUAAAAAGAAAUAUAAAAAUAAGAGAAGAAGAUGCUAGAGUUUCAUUAAUAUUGUGUGAUCAUAAUAAUCUAAAUAAAUAAGUUUAAUCUAAAUAUAAAAAGAUUAUAUAUAAAUUAAAAUAAAAAAAUAAUUUAAGCUGAUGAGAUCAUAUUGUUCCUUUGGUGGCUUCUUGAUGUUAAUCUCUUCAUGCCUUUUGAGUGUGAAUCGACCCUUCUAGGGCCCACCACAAGUGAAGUGGCGAACCAGGAGCCCAGGAGGGUCUUCUAUUUAUUUAUGCGUUUCAAAAAUGUUUUUUAAAUAAAUUAAAAAUUUUUUAUUUUUUUAUUUACUUCAAAUUAAUAUGUUUUUAGUGUUUUCAAAUUAUUUUGAUAUGCUGAUGACAAAAAUAAUUUUUAAAAAAUAAAAAAAUAUUAUUUUAAUAUAUUUUAAUACAAAAAAUUAUUUAAAAAAUAACCGCAACCACACUCCAAACAAAUUAGACCCUUAAGGCUGUUACAUCCUAAAAGAUGCUUCUAUGUCUAAGAUACCAAGUUGAGCAAUGACCUUCAAAUUUAGGAGGCCCGUACUCUUUCAAACCAGAAGGCCCAAAACUGAGCCGCCGCCACCGCAUAACCACAUCAUCCAACUAACCUGUUAGGUGGGAAGCCAUGUGGUCCCUUUUCUAUGUAGUUAACUUACUCGAUCUGAAAGAAGACUAGCUGUUGAAUUUUCAACCUCACCUCCACCUUCCUCGAAAAUUCUCAAAUCUCCAUUCUCAACACCAAAAGAACUCCAAUACCAUCAUUUAACCUCAUCGCCGAAACACCCUAACAAAACACAAAAGAUCCAAUCCUUUGCCUAAAAGAUGGAGAAUUCAACCCAAGAAUCCCACCUAAGAUCAGAAAACACUGUAACAUAUGAAUCCCCAUACCCUCUCUAUGCCAUGGCAAUCUCUUCAACCGCAUCUCGCACGAACCAAUACCAGCGGAUUGCUUUAGGUAGCUUCAUUGAAGACUACAACAACCGUAUAGACAUCGUCUCUUUUGACCCUGAAACCCUCUCUAUCAAAACCCACCAAAAUCUCUCUGUUGAGCACCCUUAUCCACCCACAAAGCUCAUGUUUAGCCCUUCAUCUCUUCACAAGUCCAAUGACCUCUUAGCCUCUUCUGGUGACUAUCUUCGAUUGUGGGAAGUUAGAGACUCUGCUUCUGUUGAGCCUCUUUUGGUGCUUAACAAUAGUAAGACGAGUGAGUUUUGUGCCCCUUUAACUUCUUUUGACUGGAAUGAUAUUGAACCUAAGAGAAUUGGUACUUGUAGUAUUGAUACAACUUGUACUAUUUGGGAUAUUGAAAAGGGUGUUGUUGAAACACAACUUAUAGCUCAUGAUAAAGAGGUUCAUGAUAUUGCUUGGGGAGAAGCAAGGGUUUUUGCUUCAGUUUCUGCUGAUGGGUCAGUUAGGAUUUUUGAUUUAAGAGAUAAGGAACAUUCUACUAUUAUAUAUGAGAGUCCUAGACCUGAUACACCGUUGUUGAGAUUGGCUUGGAACAAACAGGAUUUGAGGUAUAUGGCUACAAUAUUGAUGGAUAGUAAUAAAGUUGUGAUCUUGGAUAUUAGGUCUCCAACAAUCCCUGUUGCUGAGUUGGAGAGGCAUAUGGCGAGUGUCAAUGCUAUUGCUUGGGCUCCGCAGAGUUGUAGGCAUAUUUGCUCUGCUGGUGAUGAUUCACAGGCACUUAUUUGGGAGUUACCUACUGUGGCUGGGCCUAAUGGGAUUGAUCCAAUGUCAAUGUGCUCUGCUACUUCUGAAAUUAACCAGCUUCGAUGGUCUGCUGCACUGCCUGAUUGGAUUGCUAUCGCGUUUUCAAACAAAAUGCAGCUUUUAAAAGUUUGAGGUGAAUUGAUAUUCAUUUUUUGGUGUAUUACAUUUGAUGUUAAUUGUUAGUGUGUUAUCUUUGAUGUUAAAUUUUAGUGGUGGAAACUUGAGAGUGUUUCUAGUUAGGUGUUUGCUUCCUUUGGUUGAAUUCAGAUUGAUUCAUCUUGUCUUAUAUGUCCUUUUAUCCCGUUUUAGAGCUACUGACUUUUGCUUGGACGCGUUUUAUCUAGUUGUAUUGCUAAUUAAUUCUGCUUAGCUGUGACUAAAUAUACCAAAAUAACUUGUUACUAUUCUCAAUGCCAACAAAAGUUUGUCUUCAUGUUGAUUUUAUUUUAAUUGACAAACGAUGCUGUGGAACUAUUAAGAUAACAAUUGAAUUGCUCCUUACAAAACUACUUUGCGGCUUCUUUUAUGCCUGUGUAGCAUUUUAGUUGUUGUCUGCUGUUCUACGGAUCGACAGAAUUGUUGUUUACCUUGUGCAAUAUAAUUACUUGAAUACAUGCCGUUCAAAGUUUGAUUGGCAAAUAAAUGUUGAGAAUUUUGCAUCUUUGGGUUCUUUGUCCCCCUUGCUCCUCUUGGAUUCGAGGUUGCUUUUAGGCUCUUAGUUUUCAGCUCACUUUUACAUCCUCCAGGACUUCCUUUUCUAAAUGUUUGGUUGCUUGUCCGUGUUGCCUAUGUUCUACAGCCUGGCCCGCAAUUUUCCUUGGACAUUGUUGUUGAAUGGCUUGGUUAUGAUCCAGUCUUUGGUUGGUAGUAUUUAUGGCCAUGAUGAAUGCACCUUUUAAAUCCACCCUCAACAAUAGUUGCCUCCUUUGAGUCCGUUUCUUCUUUUAUUUUGCAAGACAGACAGAUUGCUAGUGAUGAAGGAGGGAGCUAGCAAGGGUCCUGGAUAGUUCAAAUCAGAUUUCAAUAUAUUUUCUAAUAUGUAAUGUAUCCAUCCAAUCUGACUUUAGUUUCUUUGUGGAUCAUUAUGGAGAGUUUUGAACAUCGAUGACUCUUGUCUUCAAUCUGGUCAAGUUCAUGGACUCAUCUCCCUUAUUAUGCUGAUGCAGUUGUGUUCCGGGUUUUGUGACUUGUAACCUUUACUUAGGCACCUGGUUUUUGGCACUGUGUUUAUACUUCUUCAUUGUAUAAAAACUGUUACAUCUCAUGGAAAAUUCUGCUUUGCAUUUACCUACCUUUUAUCAUAGAAAGUAGAGCUGAAACGUUUUAUCAUGGCUUCUUUGCUCAUGGCUUCUUUGCUCCCUUUAUGUUAAAAGAUCAUGGCAUACCAUGUUUGGAAUGCACUGCGAAGUUGUCUUACGUUCGAAAUUAACCCUGAGGGCUCGAUUUAAGUUUGAUUUGUUGAAAACUUUCAUGGCAGUGAUCAUUCAUUGGUGCACCUGUUAGAAAAUUUGUUUAUAAACAUGGUCAAUGAGCACACAAAUAAAUAAAUUAAAAGUGGGUUUACUCACUUUCGGAAUUAUUAGAAAUUAUUUUUCAACAGAAAUACCUUAAUAUGAAAUACUAAUAUUAAAUUAUGAAUAAAUAAAAAAUUAGUUUUAAAAAAAUCUUAGCUGACAUCUUUUGUGAAAACUUGAAAUCUUUUAUCUCAUAUUUAAAAAAUAUAAAUUUUCUUGUAAUUUAUAUAAUGAAAAAUUAAAAAGUUAAAAAAAGAGCCAAAAGGGCUUGUGCACUCCACAUAAUAUUCCGUUGGAGUUUAUGCUUGAUGUCCAUUGGUUUUACUGAUGAAAGAAUGUCAUCAAUUAAUUUCUUGUCAGGGAUUUUAUUUUUGUUGGUGAUUCUAUUAGGAGCUUAUUCUACUGAUGGAAUUGUUGAUGAAGUUUGCGCGCCAAAAAAAUAGCAACGUGUUUUUACUUUUGUCAAAAACCGACAAAAUAUAUCAUUGGUAAUGCUGUCAGUGUCGGCCAUGAAUUAAAUAUUACCAAUGAAAUUACCAUUACAGUGCUUCAUCAGAGUCCAGAAACUUGAAAGUAUCCAAUAAUUCUUCGACAAAAUUGGUUGCGAUAUUUUUUACGGACUCGCAGUCAGAAAUUUUUAUAUCCGGUGAUAAUUCUAUUGGUAUGUCAGUGAUUUUAUUUUCAUGUUCAUUUAUUAUAAUCUUGGUUGCCUUUUUUUAACCUAAAAUCAAAACAACAAAAUUGAACAACAAAAUUUUAUAAUAUUAAUUUAACAGUUAAUACAAAUAUUUUCAUUACAAUAAAAAAAAAUCCUAACAAGAUGGAGUUGGAAGUGAAAGGGGAGGAAAAAAAUCCUGAACCAUUGUCUAUGAUGUACAAGAGAAUCGAUGCUUUAUUUUUUCUUUGUUUGAAAGAGUUCAACAAUUCCUCUACUGUCAAAGACUGUCAAAUUGCCCCCAAAUUAUUUGGCAGUGUGAGUCAUUUCAGCAUUCCUUAAAAAGGCAUUCAUUUUUGGUAGGUAUCAUAACUAUUUUUCAAAAGAGAAACUAUUUUUCAUCCAUGAAGAUGCCCUAUAGUUAGACCAUGUUUUUAAAGUGUGGUGUUACUCUCAAAGGCUAACGGAGUUCACCAGUUCAAUCAUUGUCAUGGACUGUUUUGAGCCAUAUCGCUACCAACUGAUUUCAUAGCACAUAUUCUUCUCAUGGAAUUGCCCCUUAGCUAUUUUGGUCAUAAAUAGCAUUGCCCUCUAGUUGAGGUGACUCUUAUCCAUCAUCAUUAUUCAACCUUCUAGAUAGCCAUAUCAUUUGUUUUUCUAGUGGAUCAUAUGAGCUUCUCAUGCAUCAAUAUCAUCUUUGCCAAAGAAUUUUACAGACUCGAUCAAGGAUCAUUUUUUGUAAAUCAUUUUUCUUGUCUUGAGAAUAGACCAUAAAAUUUAAAAAUUGUAUUCUUUCAAAUCUAAUUGUUAAAAAGAAAUCAUUGAGAUGUAAAUUUAAAAAAAAACAAAUUGGUCGAGAACCUAAAAUAUAUCAUUAAAUGAUAUGAUACACUUUGAAUGUUGGGCCAAAUGUUAAUUGGGCUUAAGAAAAAGCAUUAUCUGGAUCUUGGAAAAUUAGGCAAGAAAAGGUUUAAAUGGAAAUUUUUUACUUUCACAAGGAAAACAUCUUGCUUAUGUUGCGUUAAACAUGUUCAUUUAUUGAUAAAGACUAAAUGGUUGCUAUAACGAGACCUGGUUGGACCACAUAACUAAGAUUUCCUACCUGAGAGCGAUCUUCUGAUUUAUCUUUUGUCAUUGUUCUAUAACCCAUGGUAUGACGUUUAAUUUUUCCCAUUUUGACAGCUUGUUCAAUUUUUUCAGCAAUCCUCACAUUAUCAUAGAAUUGUUGAGCCUAGUUUCCCAUCAGAUGCCCAUAAUAUAGGGAUUUGAUGGUGUUGGCGAACAACAUCACUAUUUUUAUUUCUAUUAGCGGAGGUUGGACAUGUGUUGUCUUAUCUCGCCAUUUUUGCGCAUAUGCCCACACAGACUCUUGGUUUCCCUUUUCCAUUGCCAUUAGGAUGGUUCUGUCAGGAGCAGAUUCAAAAUUGAAUUUAUAUUGCUUUAAGAAGGUGUCUAUUAGAUCCUUCCAUUUAUUAAUCUUGAAACUAUUCAGUCUUAUAUACCAGCUCAAGGCAAACCUUAUGAGAUUAUCCUGAAAAAAAAUAUUAGCAUUUUUAUCAUGGAUAACUUCAACCAUUUUAUUGCAAUAUGAUCGGAGAUGGGUGUUUGAACAUUCUAGCCUGGUAUACUUGAUGAAGUCCAGCACUCUGAACUCCUUCGAUACCAUAAUGUUGGAACCAAAUAAACUUCAGCUGCGUGUACAGGGUCAGUUAGAUUUCAAUUGCUCUCAAUCUCUCUUUUACAGCAGGCCACUUAUCAUAGUCUAUGAGACCAACAAAUCUAUCAUCAAAGGGUCCUUCAACGGUUAAAUCCACAGUGAUCAGAGUUUGAGCUAGCUGGACAGGGGUAAUGGGGAUAAAAUGUUGCUCUAUUGUUGAAUUUGCCCCCAAGUUCUAAGAUGUAUGAGGGAUAUAAGUUGAUGGUGUUUCCACAGGAGGUUGUGCAGACGUUCCUUUUCCAAUAUUGGAACUCAACGUUUGUUCUAGCCACUUCACCUUUGAUGCUCUCAAUUUCCUUUUUAUAAUGAGCCUACUUCUAAGCCUUUUCUUCAUUUAUCAUCAUUUACUUAGUCAAAUGUAGUGGACCUUCUAUAGGGGACCUACAUUUCAACCUGUGAACAUGCAUGCUAAAUGUAUGAGCAUGUAUUCAUAUGAUAAACUCGCCCUUCAAAGGGUGACAUAUAGUCAUAACUCUUGCAUGAUGAACAUAAAUUUUGAUUCUUGCCCAAACUCUACAACAAAAAUUUCCUGAGUAACGGCCAUUGUGUCACCCGUAAGUCCUAAAUGCUACAUAAAGGGUUUGCCUUGAUGCAAAACAUGUGUAAGGAGCAUAUACCCAAAGGUAGGUUCUAAUUCUUUUUAUGUGAGACAAAGGGUAGGUUCACUAUUUGAUCUCUAAAAGGGUCUCUUGCUCUUCCAGUGAUCACCCUCAUGAAUGUAAUAUUGGGGCUUAGUAGGCAACGUGAUGGAACGUGUACCAAUCAUUACCAAUUUAAGCACCCAACAAAGAGUUAGGGUUUACACAAAUUUAAACAUUGACUAAAAGUCAUAAGGUAAGUUGUUAGUCCCCCACCUAAUCUGAAGUUUCACAAUGUGUGCCCUUAUAACAAAAACAAAAUGUAUGAUAAAGCUCUUAAGCCAUUCAUAACUGAAAAAUAAAUAAACAUCAAUCUUUACAUAGCAUAAACAAACAAAACAAAACCUAGUCUAAAGGUCCCUAGCGAAGUCGUCAUCCUGUCAUACCCUCAUCAUCGAGGGCAUGACGUCAUAAUGACCUUUCCCAGACAGGGGUCUUGAAGGUCUUUUCAGUUGGUUGGGGAGUCACCACCUAGUAUUACGGCUACUAGGAACCCUAACUCGUUUUUUUUUUCCAGAGAUUCUAGGCAAGGGACUAGUUCCAUAAAAAAAAAGUAUUAGCACCCCUAGUACGCCUUACCUAAAGUAAACUGCAUUGUUUUUUUUAUUGUUUGCUAUAGUCUAAUGAUGUCUAUUUCUAUUAGCCUAAUAUGAUGGUUUUAAUACGAUGAACAAACUCUUGUUUUCUAUGUAAAAAACAUGGUCUAGGAAGGUGAAAUAUCAUCAAUUAUCAUUGAAGCUUCUUACUACCACAUCAUUCCAAAUAAUAUUUAAGAUAAAAUUUCUUAUGAAUUGUAUCCUUAUAUUAGAAGUGAAUGAGUUGUAUUAUUCACAAUAAUAUUUUGGAUAUUAACCUCAUAUAGGUUUUUUAUCCUUAUAUUAAAGUAAGUGAUAAAAAUAUUAUCUCUAAUAACAUUUUGGAUAUUAACCCCUUUUAUAUUUUUAUCCUUAUAUUAAAAGUGAAUAAUAUUUUCUUGCCAAAUAUAAUUUUUUAAUAUUUAUUAAAUAUAGGCCAACAUCCUUUGAAAUUUUACAAACUUGUUAUAAAAUCCAUGCAAUAAGUUUUUUUAAAAGCAUGCAAAAAUAUUUUAAAUUUUCUUUGAAAAACGAUGCUCAAGUAACUUUAGCAUUUUAUGGCCAUAUGCAAGAAAAAAUAAAAUAUUUUUUAUUAUUUAUCUUCUAUUUUUUUAGGCUUUGUUUGUAAAAAUUCAUUUUUUCUUGUAAUAAAAUUAUCAAAAAUAAGUCUAGUUAGUGUUUGUCAAACACACCCUUAAACCAAAAGUUCCUUUAACAACAACAUGGCAAACCAAAUAGGGUAUUAAAAUCCUUUGACCUCGAUUUUUUGUUAUCGGGUCGAUCUGAAAUUUUGGUUCAACCAUAAACCAACCCAAAAAUUAUGGUUUGACCCGAAAACAUCCCAAAAAAAAAAACCAAAGUAAAAAAAAAAACAGAUUAAACAUAAAAAAAAUAAAAACUCAAAAAUUCUUGAACAAAAUGGAUCAAACACUACAAAAAAAUGAAGAACACCAAACAUGAACCUAACAACGUGGGUUCCAAAACAAACCAAAUUUGAUAAAAAAAAAAAAAAGAAGAAGAAGAAGAAGAAGGCACAUACAUGUAAAUCACACAAAGAUCAAUAAUCUAACAUCCAUUCUUUUCAAUUUUCACUUAAACAUCAUGAUUGUGUCAAAAUGAGUUUCGGUUCUAAACCAAAACCCUGGAAUUAAAAGCUACUAAAAUCAUGUUAUUGAUGCAAAUAAAUACUAAAUUAUUGGUUAAUAGUGCAUAAGGAAGGGUUCUAGGUAAAUAAAUGAGACAAAACAAGUCAAAAUUAUGUAGCUAAGGCGUUCUCGGUAAGAAUACGAAGAACAAAUAAAGAACAUUCAACGUGAACCCAACAACGUGGCUCUCAAACCAAACCACAUAUGGACAAACCAAAGACACAUAUAUGUUGGAAAUUAUGCAAUGAUCAAUAAUUUAGCAUUCAUUCACUUCGAUUAUCAAUGAAUUAUCAUGAUUUUGCUAAAAUGAGUUUCGAUUCAAAACUAAAACUUUAUGAUUAAACAUCUUUUAAACUCGUUAUUGAUGUGAAUAAACACUAAAUUACUGGUUAAUCAUGUAUAAGAAAGGUGUAUGUGCAAAAACCAUGAACCAAAAUUGGUCUAAAUUUAGGGGUAAAGAAAAUGUUAUUUCCAAGAACACGAAGAAUAUUGCCUAAAACCCAGAAAAAUACCUAGAAAUGCCCAGAAAUGGCAACCCCUGCCAAGCCCAAAAUUGGCAGCCACUACCAAGCCUAGAAAUAGGCAUUUUUGGCCUCUAAAACAUGCAUUUUUAUCCCAACAAGUCAUAAUAUCAUACACAAACAUGUUUGAAUCUAAAAAACUAACAAAAAACAUCAAAAUCAAGUAAAAGGUACCAAAUAAAAAAAAACAUAAACUUAAAACAGACUAUAUGUUCAUAUAACAUAGAUUCAAAAUUGGUUUUCUGAACCCAUUUUGUGCAUGAACAGACUUAGUAAACUCAGGGUAAAACAUCAUUUCUUUAACAUGCAUAGCUUAAGUUAAACAAAAACUAAGACAACAUUAUAUAUCAUAAACAAACUUAAACAACAACUUUAAUGUAUCAAGAACAUAAAAUAAACAUAAAAAUCAACAUCAUUAAAUAUAUAUAUAAAAAAAAAGCAGCAACAAAAAAUCAAAUACAACAUUACUUGUUGAGCAUUCAAACUUCUUUUCCAUGCUUAUAGACAUAAAUAUAAAAUAAAAGUAAAUAAAAAAAACAUUAAAAGCAUGCCACAAAGGACCUACUUUUAAAUCCAAAAAGUACAUGUAAAAUAGAUACUCUCUCUUUGAUUUCUCUUGGAAAUUUUUGCCUGUCAUAAACUUGUAAAGCUAAGAAAUCUUUUGUUUAGACUCUUGGACCUCUACACUUGUGUUUCUUAUUGAUAUUUUUCUUAUCCUUUCUUUUCCUUUUCUCCUCCUCAUCCCCCUUCUUUUUUUUCCUUUUUUACUUGGGGGUAUUUAUAGGGUUUUGCUAGGGUUUUGAGAGGUUUUGAAUCCAUUUCCGAUCUCUUGAUCUUGAGGGAGGUGUUGUAAACCCUUGAUAAAGACCCAUUGAGAAGGCUUUGUGUGUGAACUCAUGAAAAAUAGGUCGGUUUUUUUCUUGAGAGUUGCACUGUCGGGGCUGACUUAGUUGCCCACUUUCGAGGCAUUGUCAGAGCAAUUCUAACGUCAUCGUUGCCAAAGACCACCUAAAGUUGGUGGAGGGGAUGCAUACCUUUUAAUUUAGCCCCUGAUUUGGUCAGUUUCAGCCCCUAUAUUCACACGUCUUUUCCAACUUGGUCAUUGGUUUUGGAUUUCUUCAAAAAAGUCUCAAAUGGCCCAUCAAACUUCAAUAUUUAUGCAAUAAAAGCCUUGAUUUGACUAAAUUAACUCCUAAAAAUUGCAAUUUGAUCCUCAAACUUCAAUUUCUUCUAGUUAAAGCCUAAAUUGACUUUAAAAAUCAAUUUUUCUUAUAAUUAAGCCCGUAAUAAAUUCAAAUAGACCUUGAAAAAUUAUAAUUAGGUCCUUAAAUAUCCAAUUUUAAAUUUUCCUCCUCAAAUUAGAUUUUCUUUGCCAAUAAGGCCUUCAUUAGUCGAAAAUACACUAUCAAAUUUUUCAAUCUUGUAUAUUUGAUCUUCCUCAAUCAGUCUUUGACUAUUUCCUAGGAGUUCUGGUAUACUUUGUUCCCUGAUUUAUAUUUUUUUAUUUUCUUCCAAUAUUUUUUUUUUUUUGUAUUUUAUCUUUUUUUUUUGUUUAUGUGGGACCCUAAAAUGGAUAAUAACAAUUUUUUUCAUUUUUUAUUUCAUUUUUGUUUAAAUAAAUCUUGAAAAUCAUAAAAAAAAUAUAUAUAUAAUGCAAAAAUAUAAAAAAUUCAAAAAUAAUUUAUUAUCAUAUGAAAAAAAAAAUGAGUUUAGGAUUUUUUGGGGCUGAAUUGAAGUUUGAAUUGAAGAGAAAAUUAAGAAAAUAACUUAAUUUGAUUUAAUUUGACUAAGAACCAAAGAAAUUCAAAAUUCAAGAAUGAUUUUGAAAUAAAUAACUAAGUUAAAAAUCAAUGAAAAGCCUAAUUGAAAAAAAAAGUUAAAAUCAAGAGUUAGAUUAGUCAAAAUUAUACAUUUAAUAACUAAUGAAUUUACAACAAGGGAUUAUAUAUGAAGUUCUAAAUUUAUCCAAUUAAAGAUUUCAUUGAAAAAAAAGAGAGAUUUAAGGUUUAAAUAAUAGAGAAUUCAAGAUUUAAAGCCCUAAUUGUAUUAAAUUGAAAAAAAAUUAAAAAUCAAGGACUAUAAUGAAAAGAGGGAAAUAUUUCAAGGACCACUUAACUAUUUAUAUAAUUUCAUUUCAAUCCUAGUUGUUUCUUUACAAUCAUUUUAGUCCAAUUAAAUACCAAUCUAGUCCAAUUCUUUCCAAUUAAUUCAAUUCAUUCCAAUUUAAUCUACUGAUUUUGUCCAAAUUAAUUGAAUUUAGUUCAGAAUCCAUUCAAAUCAAGGAAUCGAUUUCGUAUCUUUCAGUUACAAUCCCAGCUCUCAAAUCGAGAUCAACCCAUCUUCAACUUUGAUUGAUAAACGUGGGAUUUUAUUCUUCAGCUAUAAUCAUGGGAUUGCAUCUUAAUGCCUGAAUCAGCUCCUCAAUCCCAGAAUUCCAGCCAGUCUUCAAUCAAAUCUCCAAGAAUCAUUCAAAUUCCAACCAAACAUUUUCUCUUCACAAAGGGAACGCAUAACAAAGAACACAAGGGGUAUUCAUCAGCCUAUAAAGAGCAUUGAACAAAAAAAUCCAUAAACACCUGCAACCUUUUUCCAACCUAUUAAAGCGUUAAAAUUAUUUUUUAAAAUAUUUUUUUAUGUAAAAAUAUAUUAAAAUAAUAUUUUUAUAUUUUUUUAAAAUAAUUUUUAAAAAUUAUACAUCAAAAUAAUUCAAAAAAUACUAAAAAAAAAUUAAUUUUUACCCAAAAUUUUUUUUAAGGUAACACGCAUUCCCAAACGUUCUUGAAAUUGGGAAAUUUCCCAGAUUUCUAUCAAUCUUUUUCAUCUCUCAGACAAGGAAAACACAAAAAAAGGAAAAGACAGCCUUUAAUUCCAGGGAGUCUCCACCAAAACAAACCAACCAUCAUCCAUAACCAGUAGCCUUCACCACCCUUGACCAUCACCAUACUCAACCUUCAAAGAACCAGAGAGCCUCUCAACCGAUGCCACCACCAUCUCAGGCUCCAACCGAGACAAGCCUUCACUCCCUCAUGGAUUGACCCAAUAACCAUCACCACUCUCAACCUCACCCAUUUCUCGUCCACUGCCCAUGACAGCGCCCCCAGUAGCUCCACCACAGCUCUGCCUCAACCACCGAGUUCUACUUCCACACCCCAUAGCAUCACCAACCCACGAAAAAAGACUCAUAAAGCCUUGAACCUAGCAGUCUCCUUAGGUUAGCUGAACCAAAAACCAGACAUCUUUCCCCUCCUCUGGUCAAAGUCCCAUAAUCCCAUUAAAACAACCACCCACAAGAUCAAAACCUCAUCACAGACCCAUAUUCCCUCUUUCACGCCAGUAUCCUUGACCCAUCUCCUGUCCCCCUCAUCAAACCAUCUCUCACAACCGCAACAAUCAAGACACCCAAAAAAAAAACUCAAAACCACUUCCUUCCUCUUCUGUCACCCCUCCGGACCACAGCAUCGCCCGACCAGCACAAAACCAACCACUACAGCAGUUGACCGAGCCAGCAACGUCCAGCCACCACACACAGUCGGCAUCUCCUCCAGUUAGCCACCUAAGUUCCUGUACUUGUGUUAAUAAACCUGAGAGCAAAAGACGAAGAAGCAGAAGAGAAGAUGAUGAUGUCUUAUACUGCCAAAUUUAAUUCUUUCCUUUACAGGUUCAUUUUAAUUAACGAAUGGGGAAGACACGCACACACCAUUUCCAGGACAAUCAAUUGAGUAGCGCGUGAUUUGCACGCGCGCCACGUGCUCCUAUGUUAUUUCCCAGCAAAUUUUGGUGUUUAUUUUCACCCUCGAAGAUAAAUUUCGAGCCCUGAAUAAAUACUUUCAUUAUUUGUGUGUUUAAA